GUAGGCUGAAGUUAUGUUACUAGCUAAUCUGUGGUGUCUGGGUCUAUGUGGCUAAACUUACUUUGACAUACUUGGAUUCAGAGCUGGAAAACAUAGAGAACCGGGUAGAAAAGUUAAAAGAGGUAUCAGCAGUAACACAUGUCCAAGCAAUAAUGCAGGGAACUGAAGGUUGAACUUAUAACACAACUCUGAUGUUCCUAAAGGCUAAAUAGAAAUGCAUCCAUACUCUUGUUGCCUCUUUUCUACUGAUAAAAUAGAUUUCUUGAAAUGAAAUCAUUAUUGUGGUUGGAACAUUAGUGUUUUAGACUUCGAACAUAGUGUUCUUCUCAAAUAAGAUGUGUAGCCAAGUGGUUUUCAUAUAAGAUUUGGAAGUUAGAUAAAUCUUAGUUCUUAAGUAAUUAUUUUCCAAUAUUACUGGCUUAUUUUAUAUAAGAUAUCCUAUACAAAAAAGGAUUAUAAAAUGUUAGAUAUCACAAGGUUGAACCCCUAUUGAUGUUGUUCUUUCUUGCAUGCCUGUAGUCAACUGUAUGUUCAUUUCCUUGUGACUGUGAGUAGAACAUUCCUGUAAGAAGAGAAUUGAUUACGCUGAUGUGAUGCAAUUUAGCCAAAUCAGACAUUGUUGUGCUCCCUAUGGACCGUUGAAUCUGACACCUUAGGUAGGAGUGUGACUAUAUUAAGAUGGCAAUGAGAGAUUGCUUUAGCGAUGACGAGCGUCCAUGUGAAAUCUAACGUUUGCAGUUUUGACUAAAUAUAGCGGCGGUGCAUGCUUUCUGCUUUUAUUUUCUGUUUACAUUGUAUUAUGCACUCUUCCCCCCUGUUUUUUUAAUAGCUCAUGACAGGCACAUAUGGGAAGUUAUCCCAGCUUCUCUCGUCCAUUCGCCUUCCACACAGUCAUAGUUGAUUCAGGAAUGACAUUUGAGUUUUGGAGGUUAUCCUUUUGUUGAUCUUUUAGGAGUGCCAGGAACCAUCUUUUCCCAGUGUUUGUUUCCUCUGUUAGAUGCUUUUCUUUUUGUUUGCGUGGGUUUUCAAUACUAGCUAGGAAGGGAGAUGAUGUUUGAAUACAACUGUUAUCCUAAUUUUCUGUACUUCUCCUUUGUUUGGACACAUGGGGGGUGGGGGGUUUGAAAAGGAGAGGUAGGUGAGAAGAGUUUUCAUGGGCAGCUCACAUUUUCUUUUAAAAAGUCAUAACGUUAACAAAUAGAAGUAGCUAUAAAAUGAAAAACCCCUAUAUCCUUUCAGACGUAAAAGACAGAUUUUACACUUUCACUUCUACAAAAAUGGAAAAGAAUGCAGAUUGCCUUUUCUUUUGUACAUGGAAUAACUUUAGUAUUGCAACAUUAUUUUACUGAGAGGCUAAGCUUUGUAGAUAUUCUUGAUGAUAUAUAUAUUUUAAAAUAUGGACAUACCUACUUGUGUUUAGUGGUUUGAAUAGUUCAUUUUUAUCACUGGGGUUGGAGACCGAGUUUGCAGUAGUUUAUAAAUUCUGGAAGCUUAGUCUGCCCUUGGCUCUUCAUUUGACUAAGUUAAUAAUCCCUCUUAGUGCUGUUUGGGUAACUAUGCUAUUUGUGUAAUUUUCCAGGUGAUUGAUAAAGUUCAAGAAGAAACAAAAAGCCGCGGAGGUACUACUUUGGACUAUUAAUUAUCAGGAAUACUUAUAACCACUUCUAUUUUAGCUAUUGGAUCAGUGUGGGGUUUGUUGAUUUUACAAAUACUGCCCUACUAGCCUAGAAUCAGUGUCUGAACAUUCAGCUUAAUUAGUAUAUUUUAAAAUCCUUUUGCAGAUAGAAAACCACCUGGUGUCGGUGGACGAGGAAGGGGAAGAGGAGGUAGGGAUGAAGGUGCUGCUGGAAGACAGGCGAAAGGCAUUGGGCGUGGAAUGGAAGAUGCAGGUGCCAAAGGCCGGGGCAAAGGAGGACCUGGUGCCAAGUCUGGUGGAAAAGGUAUGAAGUGUUCAAUAUGCAAUUUUAUUCUCAAUUCUGCUAAAGCUUAUGUUAUCCCCGAGUCUCAAUCCGCGGCACUGCAUUUCCAUGUGAGAUAUCUUAUUCAUGCAUAUAUCUAUCUAGCAAUCCAUUCAUGUUCAAUGCUUGAAUUUAGUCUCCAUACUACAGCAAGUCUGUGUUGUAACAGUCCUCAAGUAUAUUUGUGAAUGCAACAUCUAUAUAGCCAUUUGCUAAUAAGAUGAUUUUGGAUGGUAUUUAUUGUACAGGUGGUGGCCGUGGACGUGGCUAAUCGUCGUCAUUUAGAGACAAAGAAGCCAGAUGACAAGCUAGAUAUAUUGUAUCUAAUUUUGUUUGUACUUUCAAAUUAUUAAAAGCAACUUACCGGAGAAAAAGCCUAGCUUCCAGUUAUUAUUAUUUUAAGAUGGAAUGUAUGUAGGCUUGAAAUGUUCACUCUCUUUCCUUUGUGAAGACAUGUAAGAGUGCGUGUCUUGAAAAUAUUUGGCCUCUCAGUAUGUGUGUUAUUUUAAAUGAAAAAUGUGCUAGCUUUCUUUUACCCAAUCCGAGAAGCAGAGUUUCUUAUUAAAGACGCCUUUCACUUUAUACUUAGAAUGUUAAAUAACACGAGUAAAUAUUUCUGUACUUGAGAUUAGGGAGGCAAACAUUUGGAUUUAACUAUUAUUUUCCAAAAGUUGUGAUUAUUGCUUCUUUAUUUUUAGGUUUCAAGUAUGCCAAAAUUUGGAUGAGUCCUCGUUGAAAAUAUGACAUUUUUCUUGGAAAAAUUACGUAAUUAGACAUACUUCAUUACCAUAGAAGUAUAUUAUUAUUACUAUACUUUCAAAAUAUUGCGUAUUUUGCCACUAAUUAAGAGUUUAUUAUUAUUACCUACAUUUUCAAAAUAUUACGUAUCAUUACUAAUUAAGAGUGUCCUACGUAUUUUAUGCUUAGAUGCAUGUAUUUUUGCUAUAGGGUGAGAGGCAAGUGAAAUUGGUGAGGGAGGACAGCAAGAUUCGAUACAAGCAAUCACACUAGAUACAUGUAUUCGUAUGUAUUUGGUUGAAGCUAGUGAGAUUUGCUAGGUAUCUAGAUACAUAUACGAAGCGAGUAUCUUUUUUUGUAUUUCCUUUUAUAAUUCUUGUUUUGUUUGAGGUUUGACGAAAGAAAACUUAACCAAUAAUUGAAGCCACUUCAAGGCAAUCACAAAAUCUUUAGUAUAAAGACAAACUGAUUACCGGAUGCAGACAAAGAAGUCAAAAAUGUUGCCAUAUAAAAAUAUCAUUUUGUGUUGGACAUAUUUCUUUCCUCAUCAUUAGCCGUUAGUGUAGUUGAUGUUGGCAUCAAAGUAGAUAUGGAGUAGCAACAACAUGUGAUAGUUGAAUCUCAAGAAAUAGAGAAAGAAGAAGGAGAAUUAAAGCCUCAGAAGACGAAGCGUGUUGCUUCCCUUGAUAUUUUCAGAGGCCUCACUGUUGCACUAAGUUUGACCAUCUGUAUCUCAUAGAUUCAUGUUGCAGUAAGGACGUGAAGAUUUCACGAGAAGAGUAUUCAUGCUGUAACAUGAUUGAUUUUGUAUUCUCUUUAUCAAUUUUAAAGAAGAGAUUGAUUUCUGUAUCCCAUUUGCCCUGUCCCCUAAUGAAACCUGGCAAAUUUUUGAGUUUUUCUGCCUGAAUGAAUUUAAGUCAUUAUCUUUAUUUAACUACCUCAUGUAUAAUCUUAAGAAUGAUCUCCUUAGUCUCGUGAUUUGCUUGGACUAGAUUAUUGGAACCUAUUUAGUGCAUUAGGAUGUACACUAAUUCAGACAUCGAAUUUGUAGCUGAUGGUCUUGGUUGAUGAUGCGGGAGGAGAAUGGCCUAUGAUCGGGCAUGCACCAUGGAACGGUUGCAAUCUUGCAGAUUUUGUGAUGCCAUUCUUUCUGUUUAUUGUGGGAAUGGCCAUAACACUUGCUCUGAAGGUUAUCUUUGCAUUCUUUUUUCUUCUUCCCAUUAUCAAGAAGAUAAAGUAAGGUAUUUGGUCCUACUCAUUGGUGCUUAACUACUUAUUGUGUAGAGAAUACUAGAAAAGCUAGUGGCCAUCAGAAAGGUGAUUCUAAGGACACUCAAACUUCCAUUUUGGGGCCUCCUUUUACAAGGUCAGUUAUCUUUCUUUCCUUCCUUUUAUUUUAUUCUUCCCUUAAGUUUUCCAUAAUUCAUGCAAGAUCCAUUCUAUUCAUAUAGAAUAUAUCAUAGGAAAUCUAGGCGAAGUGUUGGACUCACAGUGUACAAGCUUCUGAAAUAAAGAAGUAACCUUUUCCCCCUUUCUCUGGUGAGGUUUCACAGUUCUUUAAUGCUAUUGACUGAAUGUAUAAUCUGUUGCAAAUCUGAAAAAGUAAUUUAGGUUGUCUUCAGUGGAGAACAUCUAGAGUAAUUAGUCAAUGUUGUGCUUUAUAAGUUGAUGAUUUGUAGGACUUAAACAUAUAUUGGAUUUCCAAAAGUAGUCACACGUACUCACCUUAGGGGGUUAUUGCUUUAUUAGCCCUCUCUGUGUGAUUCUGCCAACCUUCGCGAUUGCAAUAAGUUGUAACUACUAUUUAGCUUUGAAGAAUCUACAGAUCCUUUCUCCUUUCUAAUGGACAAUCUAUCCCAGAACGAAUGAUCAGUAAUGACAUCUACUGAUUAGCUUUCCUUUAGGAAACAGAAUUAUGUUUGGCUUCAGAUAGAAACUUUCAACCAAGUGGGAAUCCAUUUGUAAAACCUGGUCUUGCAUCUCAUCUUUCCUCUUCCCAAAAUCAUUAGUAGCCUAAACUCAUCCUUUGAAUUGUGGAGGGGGAUAUUUCCAUGAUCUUGACAAGCUAAAUUAUGGUGUUGACAUGAAUAGGAUAAGGUUGUGUGGCAUCCUCCAGGUAAUAGUUUCUGAUCCCACCCCCUUUUCUAUCUCUCUUUUGAAUGCUAAUAUCUUGUGUUGGUGAUAAUUCUCCUGCUUCUUAUCUUUGUAGUGAAUUGCUCUAUCUUACUUGGUAGUGGCUAUAAUAGAAAUAACAACAAGACAAGCCCAAUCCAAAGGACUACCAAUGGGAUGGUUCUCCAUUUUCAAAUUAUACAACUGGCAAUGGUGAGUAUUAUUUUGGUGUUUCCAAAGUGGUGAUAGCAUUAAGGAUCUCCAAGUUAGUACUAAACAUUUCUUCAUGAUUUCAGGGUUAUUGGAGCAUGUGUUUUAGUAGUUUACUUGGCCACAUUAUACAGAACAUAUGUUCCUGAUUGGAAUUUUGUUUUCCAGAACCCGGACAGUGUUGAUUUUGGGAAGACUUUAACCGUGAGUUUCACUUGUCCAUGUUCCAAAUUUACCUUUAAUAUUUCUAUAUUUAAAGUCAAAAGAUUUUGCUUUUGGUAUUAGGUAACUUGCAAUGCGAGAGGAAAUCUUGAUCCUUUUUGCAAUGCAGUGGGUUAUAUUGACAGACAGAUACUUGGAAUCAAUCACAUUUAUCCACGUCCGGCUUGGAAGAGAUCCAAGGUGAUUGGUUCUUCACAAAAAUUAUAAUCUUCCCUCUAUUGUUGUUCUUUGUUAUUUGCCAUCUCCAUUAUCACCCGGAUUAAGUUCAUUUGUAACACCCUUUGAUGGAUCUUAUUCUACAGGCUUGCACUAAAAAUUCUCCAUAUGAGGGACCUUUCAAGGAUGAUGCUCCAUCAUGGUGUUGGGCUCCUUUUGAACCCGAAGGAAUUUUGAGGUAGGAUUCGUAUAAUCAAUUCUCUCUUUUCGUUCAAGUCUUGUGUGCUCGUAUCAUCAGUACAAUCUUUAUCUUCGGAUUUCUAGUUGCUUGAUUAAUAAAAGCUUUUAAAGUCUAAUACCUUUUAUGCUACUUACCAAUGUUUAAUUUUUCCUGUUUGGUAAAUUCUUCUACUUAAGACUACAACUCAAUCUCCUAAAGUAGUCACACGUACUCACCUUAGGGGCUUAUUGCUUUACUAGCCCUCUCUCUGUGAUUCUGCCAACCUUUGCGAUUGCAAUAAGUUGUAACUACUUUUUAUCUCUGAUUAAUCUACAGAUCCUUUCUCCUUUCUAAUGGACAACCUAUCCCAGAACGAAUGAUCAGUAGUGACAUCUACUGAUUAGCUUUCCUUUAGGAAAUAGAAUUAUGUUUGGCUUCAGAUAGAAACUUUCAACCAAGUGGGAAUCCAUUUGUAAAACCUGGUCUUGCAUCUCAUCUUUCCUCUUCCCAAAAUCAUUAGAAGCCUAAACUCAUCCUUUGAAUUAUGAAGGGGGAUAUUUUCAUGAUCUUGACAAGCUAAAAUAUAGUGUUGACAUGAAUAGGAAAAGGUUGUGUGGCAUCCUCCAGGUAAUAGUUUCUGAUCCCACCCCUUUUCUGUCUCUCUUUUGAAUGUUAAUAUCUUGUGUUGGUCAUAAUUCUUUUGCUUCUUAUCUUUGUAGAGAAUUGCUCUCGCUUACUUGGUAGUGGCCAUAAUAGAAAUAACAACAAAGACAAGCCCAAUCCAAAGGACUACCAACGGGAUGGUUCUCCAUUUUCAAGUUACACAGCUGGCAAUGGUGAGUAUUAUUUUGGUGUUUCCAAAGUGGUGAUAGCAUUAAGGAUCUCCAAGUUAGUACUGAACAUUUCUUCAUGAUUUCAGGGUUAUUGGAGCAUGUGUUUUAGUAGUUUACUUGGCCACAUUAUAUGGAACAUAUGUUCCUGACUAGAAUUUUGUUGUCCAGAACUCGGACAAUGUUGAUUUUGGGAAGACUUUAACCGUGAGUUUCACUUGUCCAUGUUCCAAAUUUACCUGUAAUAUUUCUAUAUUUAAAGUCAAAAGAUUUUGCUUUUGGUAUUAGGCAACUUGCAAUGUGAGAGGAAAUCUUGAUCCUCCUUGCAAUGCAGUGGGUUAUAUUGACAGACAGAUACUUGGAAUCAAUCACAUGUAUCCACGUCCAACUUGGAAGAGAUCCAAGGUGAUUGGUUCUUCACAAAAUUAUAUUUUCCCUCUAUUGUUGUUCUUUGUGAUUUGCCAUCUCCAUUAUCACCGGAUUAAGUUCAUCUGUAACACCUUUGAUGAAUCUUUAUUCUACAGGCUUGCUCUAAAAACUCUCCAUAUGAGGGACCUUUCAAGGAUGAUGCUCCAUCAUGGUGUUGGGCUCCUUUUGAACCUGAAGGAAUUCUGAUGUAGGAAUAAUUUGUAUCAUCAAUUCUCUCUUUUCGUUCAAGUCUUGUGUGCUCAUAUCAUCAAUACAAUUUUUAUAUACGGAUUUCUAGUUGCUUGAUUAAUAAAAGCUUUUAAAGUCUAAUACCUUUUAUGCUACUUACCAAUGUUUAAUUUUUCCUGUUUGGUAAAUUCUUCUACUUAAGACUACAACUCAAUUUCUGCUAUUCUCUCUACGGUCCUUGGAGUUCAUUUUGGGCAUGUUCUUAUUUAUAUGAAGGUUAAGUCAAAAUCUUCUAGACUUGACCGUCUCACCAAAUUAAAGCAAAGUUACUGAUAUUCCAAUUUUUGUAACUUCAGGAUCACUCGUCCAGACUUUUGCAUUGGAUUGGCAUGGGCAUAGCUCUUUUAGUUUUAGGAAUUAUUCUCCACUUCACAGAUGGUAAAAUUCGCAGUUUAUGAAAUGCACUCGAAAGUUGAAUAUAUCUUUUUUUCUCUUCCUCAAUUUUCCUUUGAUGGUGCUGAAUGCAACUAUUCCUUUAAAUAAGCAAUUAUACACUUUCAGCUAUGUCUGUGUAACCUCAUGAGCAGUCGCGUUAGUGUUCUCUGCUUUCUACAUUAUGGUAUAGUAGUCUUGUCAAAAAAUCUGAUUACUUUACUAUAUGUCCCUAGCUACAAAUUGAACUGAUCAACUUGGUACAUUAGAAUUGAAAGUUCUAGACUUUUACGAUUUUAAAUCACACUUCCCUCUGAAAUGCAAGGCCAUUGAUUAUAAAACAAAAUUCUCAAGGUUCAAGUUGAUGGAAAAUGUUCCAAGUUUUAUGUUUUUAUCAAUCAAUACCGGAUGAUAUAGAGCAGGAAAAUGUAUAACUAGGAUUUUGCAGAAUGAGUAUUUUUAACAAGAAAAGCUUAGAGUGACAAUAUUCUGAUGUGUCAUCACCGUAGCAAGAUUCACAAACUUCUAAUCCCGAUCCUUUCCUUUUGGUCCUUUUGGAAUGCAGGUUGACAUUUUGAACUUGAAGUAUAUAUUUCUUCCACUAGAAUGGAUUGGUAUGAAUGCGAUGCUUGUUUAUGUAAUGGCCGCCACAUGAAUUUUUGCAGGUUUCAUCAAUGGCUGGUAUUAUGAGGACCCUCAUAAUACACUGGUAUUUCAUUCAUCUCUUUCAUUACUUCCUCACUUUGAUAUGCUGCAGUCCAUUGUAUAAAAAUAGUCAGAGGCGGAUUCAGGAUUUGAACAUUAUGGGCUCGAGUUUGAAAUUCUACCACAACAAAUAGGUUACUUGGUUCGAAAUUUGUACUUAUAUGGUGAAUUUUUUAGCACAAGCAAAGUUACUUAUGCAGUACAUCUACCUCUAGCCAUCUGCUUUCUGCAGCUAAUUGUCAAAACUUAAAUAGGCCAUACGACAAUUGUUGAUGUCGCACCCUAUUUCGAACCGAUCGAAACAGUUCACAACAUAAUAUGGCUGCCACUCUGAUUUUGGAAAAAUAAUGUUUUUUGUUUGUUUUAGAGUCGCCACCUAAAUUUUAAGAAAAAUAUUAGGAAAAUCAUUUUUUAAAUAUGUAGAUGUAAACUCUAUUUUGAUUUGCGAAACCAGUGAGAUUCUGAGUAUGAUUUUGGUUACUCGAGGGGAAGGUGUUAAGCAUCUCUCAGAGCCUAUCCGAAGAUAGUCCUUAAACUCAAUUUAGGAAAAAAAAUAGUUAGAAAAUUUUGUUUAUUUAUUUGUUUUAAAAAUCAAUGAUAAUUAAAUCUCGUUAGUUUAAGAAAAAGAGUAAAAUACAAAGUACGACACAUAUACGUUGAUAAAAUAAAUGUGCCUAAAGGUAUGUCAAUUUUAUAUAUAUAAAAAAAGAAGAUGUAUCUUGUAUGAAACUUAUCCAAGAUAUAAAUGUUGAGUUUAAAGGAUAUGAAAAUGUGUUAUCUUAUUUAUAUGCAAAAUUAAGAUGUAAAAGAAAAGAAAAUAAAAUGAGAUAAUAGUUGUGUAACACCCCGUAUCCGAAACAGACCAAAAAUGCAGAUUUUGAGAAGUUGCAGGUGCAACCCACGGUUGCCAUCCACGGACCGUAGGUCAGACCACGGCCCGUGCUGGUGGUCCGUGGUUCAACACUGAAACCCCUCCCAGACCUAGCUCAGAAAAUCGGCCAAGUCCCGACUCACGGACAGACCCACGGUCCGUAGAUCAGACCACGGUCCGUGGUCUGUGUCCGUGGAUCGAGACUUCCCUUACCCANNNNNNNNNNNNNNNNNNNNNNNNNNNNNNNNNNNNNNNNNNNNNNNNNNNNNNNNNNNNNNNNNNNNNNNNNNNNNNNNNNNNNNNNNNNNNNNNNNNNNNNNNNNNNNNNNNNNNNNNNNNNNNNNNNNNNNNNNNNNNNNNNNNNNNNNNNNNNNNNNNNNNNNNNNNNNNNNNNNNNNNNNNNNNNNNNNNNNNNNNNNNNNNNNNNNNNNNNNNNNNNNNNNNNNNNNNNNNNNNNNNNNNNNNNNNNNNNNNNNNNNNNNNNNNNNNNNNNNNNNNNNNNNNNNNNNNNNNNNNNNNNNNNNNNNNNNNNNNNNNNNNNNNNNNNNNNNNNNNNNNNNNNNNNNNNNNNNNNNNNNNNNNNNNNNNNNNNNNNNNNNNNNNNNNNNNNNNNNNNNNNNNNNNNNNNNNNNNNNNNNNNNNNNNNNNNNNNNNNNNNNNNNNNNNNNNNNNNNNNNNNNNNNNNNNNNNNNNNNNNNNNNNNNNNNNNNNNNNNNNNNNNNNNNNNNNNNNNNNNNNNNNNNNNNNNNNNNNNNNNNNNNNNNNNNNNNNNNNNNNNNNNNNNNNNNNNNNNNNNNNNNNNNNNNNNNNNNNNNNNNNNNNNNNNNNNNNNNNNNNNNNNNNNNNNNNNNNNNNNNNNNNNNNNNNNNNNNNNNNNNNNNNNNNNNNNNNNNNNNNNNNNNNNNNNNNNNNNNNNNNNNNNNNNNNNNNNNNNNNNNNNNNNNNNNNNNNNNNNNNNNNNNNNNNNNNNNNNNNNNNNNNNNNNNNNNNNNNNNNNNNNNNNNNNNNNNNNNNNNNNNNNNNNNNNNNNNNNNNNNNNNNNNNNNNNNNNNNNNNNNNNNNNNNNNNNNNNNNNNNNNNNNNNNNNNNNNNNNNNNNNNNNNNNNNNNNNNNNNNNNNNNNNNNNNNNNNNNNNNNNNNNNNNNNNNNNNNNNNNNNNNNNNNNNNNNNNNNNNNNNNNNNNNNNNNNNNNNNNNNNNNNNNNNNNNNNNNNNNNNNNNNNNNNNNNNNNNNNNNNNNNNNNNNNNNNNNNNNNNNNNNNNNNNNNNNNNNNNNNNNNNNNNNNNNNNNNNNNNNNNNNNNNNNNNNNNNNNNNNNNNNNNNNNNNNNNNNNNNNNNNNNNNNNNNNNNNNNNNNNNNNNNNNNNNNNNNNNNNNNNNNNNNNNNNNNNNNNNNNNNNNNNNNNNNNNNNNNNNNNNNNNNNNNNNNNNNNNNNNNNNNNNNNNNNNNNNNNNNNNNNNNNNNNNNNNNNNNNNNNNNNNNNNNNNNNNNNNNNNNNNNNNNNNNNNNNNNNNNNNNNNNNNNNNNNNNNNNNNNNNNNNNNNNNNNNNNNNNNNNNNNNNNNNNNNNNNNNNNNNNNNNNNNNNNNNNNNNNNNNNNNNNNNNNNNNNNNNNNNNNNNNNNNNNNUAGUCUUUAGUUUCAGUUUUUUUGCUAGACCUAGUUGGGGCAUGUCCCAACAUUUCUAGUCAGUUUAGAGGCUUAUUUCAGACAUAGUUAGAUUCAGCUUAGUAUUGAGUUAAUAUCUUCUUUGUAUUAAACUCAUCAGUUUUCAUUUAUCUCAGUUAUAGUAUAUGGGUAUUCCCCAUCCUUUCAUGUUAUUUAUGAUUUAGCUUCCGCAUAAGUUUAUUAUCUUUAGUAUGCUCAUGAUCAUGCCAGCAGGGUUAGCUUGGGAUCACUUGUGAUCCUAGGUCCCGUGUACGCGUCUCGGGGGUAGUCUCGGGGCGUUACAAACUUGGUAUCAGAGCCACGAUCGACACCUUGUGUUUAUUUGGCUUUUUCAUCAAAUUAUCAUUGUUAUCAAUGUUUUGAUCCAAAAUCUUCAAAAAUAUACUUGUCUCGUGAUGUCAAAUUUUUUGAAAGUAUUUUUCCUUUCCAGUAUAUGUUUUCAAAGAUUUCCUCAUGUUUCAGACAACUUGCCUGGGACGACUUGGUUACAACUAACCAGGACAUUUCUCAUAUGAUUUCUCCUAUGCCUUGUACAAAUUUACCGCCUUCUAUUAUUCUGACCAAUGCAGAUACCAUCCGGCACACGAAUGAUACUGUCUCCUCUGACUGCUCUCCAACAGAGUUUGCAAUACCAGGUACUUUUUCACUUUCUUCUCUUCCUGAUGCACAAUCUUCUCCUCUGUUGUCCUUCAUCCUUGUCGAGAGAACUUCCAUUCCAAUACCCUUUCCAUCAACUCAACUGCCAUCAACAUCCUAUCCACCAUCGCUAAAACCUCCUAUUCGGUUCGUGUACUCUCGUUGCUCCACUCCAGCGGCAAUAACGAACACCUAUGCCCCAACCUUGCCCGAACCACACCCUUCCCCUUUGCUUCCAAAUUGAGUCGUUACCCCCUCACAACACAAUACCCAUAAACCAAAACCAAUUUUUGAUUACAUGGCUCACCUCCCACCUAUAGUCACUCCCAGCACCUUCAACCAAGCAAGCAAACACAUAGAGUGGCAGAAUGCUAUGCAAGCUGAAUUUGAUGCACUGCGUAAAAACCACACGUGGGAAUUAGUACCUUCUGAUCCGUCUAAAAAUGUCAUUGCUUGUAAAUGGCUGUACAGAAUAAAGCGAAAAGUUGAUGGUUUUAUUGAUCGUUGUAAAGCCAUAUUGGUCGCAAAGGGAUUUACCCAACGUCACGGUGUUGAUUUUCAUGACACGUUUAGCCCAGUAGUCAAACCAACUACUAUUCGUGUGGUCCUCUCUAUUGCAAUCAAAUUUGAUUGGCCUCUGCGUCAACUUGACGUUAAUAAUGCAUUUCUUCAAAGAUGUUUGGAUGGAGAGGGUUUAUAUGGAACAACCUCGGGGAUUUGAAGACAAGACUUGUCCAACCCAUAUUUGUCGUCUUCAUAAAGCUAUUUAUGGACUCAAACAAGCUCCUCGAGCAUGGUACAAUGAACUCAAGAAUCAUUUGGUCCUGUUAGGCUUCAUAAAAUACGGCUCCCUUUUUGUUUGUCAUCAUUGUCAUGCCACGGUGUACCUACUGGUAUAUGUGGAUGACAUUAUUGUUACUGGCAGCAAUACUUCAGUUGUUAAUCAAUUAUUUCUUCCCUUGCAGCUAGAUUUUCUGUUAAAGAUCCUGAAGCUCUCACCUACUUUUUAGGUAUUGAAGUCAUUAGAAGUGUGGAUGGUAUUAUUAUGACUCAGAGUACCUAUACACGUGAUAUAUUGCGUGAGGAGAACAUGGUUGAUUGCAAACCUGCUAAAACUCCAAUGAGUACUACUAAAGUACUCAAGGUCAAUGAUAGCGGAUUAUUAGCUGAUGCAACCAGAUACAUAAGGGUGAUAGGGAAGCUCCAAUAUUCUUCUUUCACUCGUCCAGACAUUUGUUUUACAGUAAACAAACUGUCACAAUUUAUGCAAACUCCCUCCGAGAUCCACUGGAAAGCUGUCAAACGGGUACUAAGGUAUCUUCAAGGGACUGCUCAUCUUGGCUUACGGUUGAUGCGCCAUAAUGAUUUCUCUUUACAUAUGUACUCUGAUGCGGAUUGGGCUGGAGACUUUAAUAAUCGUGCUUCUACUGCUGGAUACCUUCUGUUUAUUGGCCAAAAUCCUGUAAGUUGGUCCUCCAAAAAGCAAAGAACGAUUGCUCGUUCUUCCACUGAAGCUGAAUAUCAGGCAGUUGCAAGUGCUCUUGCAGAAAUAAACUGGGUCACAAAUCUUCUCGCAGAACUGCGACUUAAAUUUCAAAAAGUCCCAACUAUCUACUAUGACAAUGUUGGUGCGACGUAUUUAUGUGCAAAUCCUGUUUUUCACAGUCGCGUGAAACACAUUGCGGUGGAUUUCCAUUUUGUGCGCAAUCAGGUUCAGCUCAAGCAAGUUCAAGUUGUCCAUAUACAAUUCGCAGACCAACUUGCAGAUACUCUAACCAAGGCCCUUUCCAAAUCAGCCUUCGACAGACACAUGUUCAAGCUAGGUGUUGUUGCACACUGCCUACCUUGAGGGGGGCGUAUCAAUGCAUAAGUUGCUUUGUACAGCUGUUAGAUAGAAUUAGUUAAUUACUGUUUUAUUAGUCAUUAGUUACUGUUGAGUUUUACUAUUAGUUUACUGCUGCUCUUCAAUUUUGACUAAGUCUCUAACAGUGUUUAGGCUUAGGAUUAUCUCCCCAUUUUGUGGAGUUAGCUUAGGAAAUAGUUAGACCAUCGUGUAUAUUUAUUUCCAUUCCAGCAAUAAGAACAAAAGGUUUUUCUGCAGCUUAUCUUGUUUCUUUACAAAGUAGUACCUCCACGACUUUUUGUUUCUUCUUGAACUUUAUCAAUCACCAGGAAAAUUACACAAAUACCCAAACAACACUAAGAGGGAUUAUUAACUUGGUCAAAUGAAGAGCCAAGGGCAGACUAAGCUUCCAGAAUUUAUAAACUACUGCAAACUUGGUCUCCAACCCUAUUGAUAAAAAUGAACUAUUCAAACCAGUAAACACAAGUAGGUAUGUCCAUAUUUUAAUAUAUAUAUAUAUCAUUAAGAAUAUCUACAAAGCCUAGCCUUUCAGUAAAAUAAUGUUGCAAUACUAAAGUUAUUCCAUGUACAAAAGAAAAGGCAAUCUGCAUUCUUUUCCAGUUUUGUAGAAGUGAAAGUGUAAAAUCUAUCAUUUAUGUCUGAAAGGAUAUAGAGGGUUUUCAUUUUAUAGUUACUUCUAUCUGACUUUUAAAAGAAAAUGUGAGCUGCCCAUGAAAACUCUACUCACCUACCUCUCAUUUUCAAACUCCCCACCCCCCAUGUGUCCAAACAAAGGAAAAGUACAUAAAAUUAGGAUAACAACUGUAUUCAAACAUCAUCUCCCUUCCUAGCUAGUAUUGAAAGCCCACACAAACAAAAAGAAAAGCAUCUAACAGAGGAAACAAACACUAGGAAAAGAUGGUUCCUGGCACUCCUAAAAGAUCAACAAAAGGAUAACUUCCAAAACUCAAAGGUCAUUCCUGACUUGACUAUGAAAGUGUGGAAGGCGAAUGGACGAGAGAAGCUAAGAUAACUUCCCAUAUGUUACUGUCAUGAGCUAUAAAAAAAUAGGGCGGAAGAGUGCAUAAUACUCUCUAAGAAGAAAAUAAAAGAAGAAAGCAGACGCCGCCGCUUUAUUUAGUCAAAACUGCAAACGUUAGAUUUCACAUGGAAGCUCGUCAUUGCUAAAACAAUCUCUCAUUGCCAUCUUCAUAGAGUCACACUCAUACCUAAGGUGUCAGAUUCACGGUCCAUAGAGAGCACAACAAUGUCUGAUUUGGCUAAAUUGCAUCACAUAAGCGCAAUCAAUUCUCCUCUUACAAAAAUGUUCUACUCACAGUCAUGGGGAAAUGAACAUACAGUGGACUACAAGCAUGCAAGAAAGAAUAACAUCAAUAGUGGUUCAACCAUAUGAUGUCUAACAUUUUACAUUUUUUUUAGUAUAGAAUAUCUGAUAUAAAAUAAGCAAGUAAUAUUGAAAAAUAAUUACUUAAGAACUAAGAAUUAUCCAAAUUCCGAAUCUUAUAUGAAAGCCACUUGGCUACACAUCUUAUUUGAAAAGAACACUAAGUUCAAAGACUAAAACACUAACGUCCCAACACAACAAUGAUUUCAUUUCAAGAAUCUAUUUUAUCAAUAGAAAAGAGGCAACAAGAAUAUUGGAUGCAUUUAUAUUUAGCCUUUAGGAAUAUCAGGGUUGUGUUGUAAGUUCAACCUUAAGUUCCCUGCAUUAUUACUCAGACACGUGUUAAUGCGAAUAUCUUUUUUAACUUUUCUACCCGGUUCUCUAUGCUUUCCUGCUCUGAUUCCAAGUAUGUCAAGGUAAGUUAGCCAUAUAGACCCAGACACCACAGAUUAGCUAGUAACAUAACUUCAGCCUACAACAACACAACUGAAAUCCACCCCUAAAAGCCCCAUUGAGUGAGUAACCAGACAAGUAUAUCCAUGAGUCUGGUCACACCAAGAUUAACUAGUAUCUUGAUUCCACCUACUUACAUCAAACCAAGCCCCUAGAAUGCACCACGAUAAAAGUGUAAAUGGACCGUCCUCAGUGUUCUGUACAAGAUGUUAUUAAGUAAAUUAAAAUGUAUUCUCCCUAACAACUUAAGCUUUUACAUCAAAUGAUCACACAUUUCACAUCUCAACAUGGUGCAAUUCUCAACCCACCCAUUAUCAGAAAAUAAGUUGUGUGCUUGGCACAGGAAAAAGAACUCAGGCCUGCACGUUAGGUGUGUAUAAAAAUAUUAUUGUGUAUAUUAACGUGUACUCUCUAUGAAAACUAAAGAUUUUCCAAACUCAUUGUCAUAUUGAGUGAUAGCACUAAAGCAAGUAGUUUAGUCCUAGUUACUUAAAGUAGAAACUGCCAUUCCAGAACUAGUUUACAAACUUGAAAACCUAGCAAUAACAUAUUAAAAAACAAUGAAUUUACCUUUGACGUACAGAUAACUUCACGAAGAUGGAUAUUUAACCAAGUAUCACAAUUCACCAAAUGACCAUUAUAAGUCUCUCCAUUUUUUAGCUCCACCAACUGUAUUAGAAAACAAAAGUUUCCAGAUUAAGAUAAUUGAACAAAUAGAAUAAUCCCAUACGAAUUCUCAAAAUCCCUCGAAUCUCGUGGGCUCCAGGGACUUGUGGCAUAUUUUGGAGAUACAAUAUAAAUAUGCAGAAAUUGAUAAACUAUACCAACAAAAAAUCUGUUGCCUUUAAGAAUGUUAGCCAAAAGCCUCAACUAACAACAGGACAAAACAUGAAAUCAUUAUUGUUAUUCUCCCUCCAAUUUUCCAAACAGCUACAACAUGAGAAUUUCACUCUUGUAUUCCUAUAACUAUUUUAUUCAUAGGGUUUGUUGUUUUUGUAUGUUAUUAAUAAGUUCAGGUUCAUUCAAAACAUGCAGCACUUGGAAAAACCUAAUUGAGCUAAUUGCAUUACCACACCGAAAAGAAAUAAGAUCAAACUAAACAAUAGACAAGGAAUAGAGAAAAAAAAGAGACACUACCCCUCUUCCACAUGAAUUCAAAAGCUUACCAUAGGAUGCCCCUGUGCAGUCUUGAGCAAAAAGAGGGGAAGCUGAGACAGAAGAAAAAUAAAAAUUAGAGCUUCAUAAGAACUCAAAACCCUAACCCUAACCCUACAGCUCACAAAGCGAUUUUCGUUAAACCUACCAUCUUUAGAUGGGGGAAAUUCCGAAUUUAAAAUAACCUGCAAAAGUCAAAACCCACGGAUUACCAAUAAAACAAAAAACUGAUCCCGAAGAACUGCACACACACAAAAAAAAAGAACACUUAAAUCUGCAAAUUCUCUCUUUUUUUACAUUCAAAACCUAGACACACUUAAAUCUGUAAAUUUUUUCUUCUUUACAAUCAAAACCUAGAUAGUGCAUGAGUUUAUACACAUAAUCUGUGCUAAUACAUAUAAGAUAUUCAAAGCCUUACCUAGCUUGAUCUUCGUCUUUUUCCUCCCUUUGUUGAAAAAAAAAACGAAAGCCUAAGGUUCCUAGAUUAAACUUGAACUGUACCAAAUGGAGUCCAGAUUUAUUGUAAAUUGAAAUUUUUCUGUUCUACCGCCUUUAGGGCUAUGAAGUAUGAAUUGGGUGGGCUCCACGUUUCAUGGGCUGUAAAUUGAAUCGUCUACUACUUUCACUUUCAUCUUCUUUUAAGAGCAACUUUCACAUAUAGUAAACAAAAAAAUCAUAUUUGUAUGCUAUAGCAAAGUUUGCAUAAUUGCGCUCCAUAGCAAACAUAUAUAUGUAUAAUUCGCUAUACAUAUACAAUUGUAAGCUAUGUCUAUUUCGCUAUACAUAUAUACAAAGAGAAGCAAUUGUAUAAUUCGUUGGCUCCUCUUCAGAUUUGUAUAAUUUCGCUGGUAGACCAUUUGUAUAAAUUAUUGUUAGCCUCUCGUUUGUAUAAAUCAUUGACAAAAAUAUUUGUAUAUCAAAAAUCGUUCUCUCUUUCGCUUUAUACAAACAUAAAUUAUACAUUAUACAAACAUAAUCUGUGUUUGUAUAAAAUGAGAAAGAGAACUGGGAAGGGAAAUAUUUGCAUUGUAUAAUUAUAAGUGUAUAAGACGAAUAUAUAUGUAUUUGCAUGUGUAUAUACAAUUUUCUUUCGCUUUAUACAAACAUAAAUUAUACACAAUACAAACAUAAAUUAUACAUUAUAUUGUAUAAUCUGUGUUUGUAUAAAACGAGAAAGAGAGAAACGCAAAAGAGAACUGGGCAGGGAAAUAUUUUUAUUGGAUAAUUAUAAGUGUAUAGGACGAAUAUAUAUGUAUUUGCUACAAUUUUCUCUCGCUUUAUACAAACAGAAACACAAUUUAUACAAUUCUAUUGUAUAAAGCGAGAGAGGCGAGCACAAAGAGAGUGAGCGAGAAAGGGAGAGUGGUGAACGAGAAUUUGGAGGGAGAGAGGCGACUGACAAACGUUUGCUACGGGGAGCAAUUAAAUCAAACAGUAGUUACUCCAUUUAUUUUAGAUUAUAAGUUUGUCAUUCAGUACAACUAACCCUUUUUUUAAACAUCUUCAACCAUAUUCUUUAUUAGUCUCCAAAUAUAGAUUUAUUUAUUUUUUAAAUCAACUUCAACUCAAUUUUUAUUUUUUUAGAAAACCAAUCCCAACUCAAUUCUCUAUUUUAUUCUUUAAAAUAUAAUUUAUUUCUUUCUCCUCAAUAUUAUAUUUUUAUUUCUAUUUCAUUCUUAUUUUCUUAUUUCAUAACAUAAAUUAUUGCUUCAUUUUAUGUUUUCAAAUAAUCACUUUAUGGGGUAAUUUUCAUGUGAUAUAAUAUUUUUAUUUUCAAAUUAUUUUUUAAUAUAAAAUUAUAUUUUAUUCUAAAUUUCUAAAUAGCAUAAGCUGCAAUCAAAUAUUAUAUAAUAUACAAAUUAAUGCACAAUUCGAAUAAAAGUGAAAUCAUUAAUGAAAUACAAUUACAUAAAAGUUACAUAAAUACCUAACUUUCAAGAUUAUUAUGUUACUCCCAAAAUUGCUCUAAUAAUGCAUUACGGAGUUCAAAAUUAAACAUUUUUUAUCCUUAAUUUUUUACGUCUAACUAAAAAUAGUUCAAAUAAGAGAUUUUCAUCUACCACAAUUUAUGUUGGUACAAUUAGAGUCAACUACAUCCAAACAACAAGACGGCGUAAGGCUAGAUAGAUAUAUCAAACUCAAGGAAGUUAUAUAAGAAAAUAAAAUUUUAAGGAUAAAUUUAGAAGUUAUUAGUGAUCCAAAUGUUCGUAAUUACAUGCAACAAGAACAACUAUGAAUAAUUGGAAAAAGAAAUCAAUAUGCACAACUGCAAUUAUAACAAUUUUCUGGACCAUACAUUAUUUUUUCCCAAAAUAUUGCUAAAUCUGGAAAUAACCUAUUGGAUUACUAAAUUAAUGUUGUGAUAAAUAAGUUAUUAUGUUAUUUAUGGUAUUGUUAUUUUUGUGUUUAAAUUAUUAUCUUAUGUAUUGUAUUUUUAUCUUGUAAUUAAAUUAUCAUCUUAUGUAUUUGGCUAUUAUCUUGUAUUUAAAUUAUUAUGUUAUGUAUUGUAUUUUUUAAAUUAGAAUUUUCAUCUUAUCGUUUUAAUUGUACGUUUGUUAUAGUGAAAAUUAAUAAUAAAAUAAAAUUAUAUUAGUGACAAAAAAAUUUAAAAAUUGAAAUAUUAUCAAUUCAGAAUGAAUAUAGUAUAUGUUAAAAUAAUAUAUUUUUUAAAUAUUAUAUUACAUUUUUAAAAAUUACGAAUAUUAGAUAUUUAAGUAAUAACAUUAUAUGUAAAAUAAUAUGAUAAUUACACAAUAGAAAUAAUAAUAAAAUAAUGUAAAAGUGGUUCUCCAAAUUUGUAGAACUAAUAUUCACCUCUAAAAAUGAAAAAUAGAGAUUAAAAUAAAGAGGGGUUGGAUUGCUCAUUCUCUAUUUUUACUCUCUGAAUAUAAAGAAUGAAGACUAAAAUAGAGGUGGGUUGAAGAUUGUCUAAACAUUGGAACGAUACAGGCAAAACAAUAUUGAACGAUACAGGAAAAAAUCAAAAUUGGACAAUAGUUUCUACUUUGUCUGUUUGGUUUUCGUCCAAUAUCCCAUUUUAGGACAUCUGUUUAAUAAAUGUUUACUUUCUUAUUAUAAUUUAAGGACACUUUAAAUCAUAAUCUUUCUUCGAAACAAACAAAAAAUCUAAUAAGAAAAUAUUAAACCACAUUCUUAUAAUAUAAAUUAUGACGAGCGUUAGUUGACAAUCAAAUAGAGUAUUAAGAUUGAAAACAGUACGAGCAAAACAAUCAUUAGACCAAAAUGUAAAAUAAUUCAAAAGUAUAAUUUAUCUCGAGUUUACAUUUGCACAAGUUUUUAAAAAUAAAAAACGAAUUCGAAAUGAAAGUUAUCUAAAGAAAAGGACAUGUACGUGGUUGGAUUUGGGCCAUAGGUUUACUAACCAUUUGUCAGGUUAAGGAGGCCCAAUCAAUUGAGGGUAAACUAGUAAUUUAACGAAAAUACGAAAUUGAAAGGAAAGUCAAAAAUUUCAGAAUUUCCACCAAAAACUAACUGCCAAAAAGAGUUGAGCAAUAAAUCAAACAGUUUUACAGAUCUACACACAAUACAAACAAAGGUACUUUCGUCUUCUCGAAUCUCUCAUCUUAUCAGUUUAGAUGUGUUUUUUAUUCUUAUCUCAAAUUUAAAACUAGUAGCAUUAUAUAUUUUGAACCUAUAUUUUUAAAAAUUUAACAAUUCAAUGUUAAGAACUUAAAGAUCAAAACGGACAAAUUUAUAUCUUAGAUGCAUCUUUUCAUAAUAAAACACUCAUCCUUCUAAAAUUGUGAAUACACCUCUGAACGUGAUGCACUUGAAACAUUAUAAUAUGAAAUCAUUGUAAGUUAAAUAAACCUAGAAAGUGCAUAUGCAAAAUUACCAACGAAUAUGGUCAAUCACCCAUUAAAAAUAACUUUGAUAAAUAAGAUAUAAGUAUGUCAAACACAACUAACCGAAAAAUAGAAAGAAAAAAAGUGCAUAGAUUUCAAUUGGAUACCCUUCUUCACCUGCCCUAAGCAAGAUUAGCUCACACAUCUUCUGCGUAGUGCUAACGCAACCUUGUCCUCGAGAUACAAUAUAUUGUUCCGAAAUCGUCCAAAUAUACCCUCAUACUAUGCAAAAUUAAGCAUAUUUUCCCUCCGUUAAUACUUCAAAUCACUAAUGCCCUUAGCGUCAAAAUUACUUGGUCCAAAACAUGUUGUGCAAGUCGGGCCAUAAAAGUCUCUCUUCAACCCCACACUCCUUCAACCUUCAGAGAUAUAAAGUUAGUAAUAGAGAAGUAACUACAACAACAUAGCUAGUGUAAUUCCACAAGUCGAGUCUGAAGGUAAGAUAUAUGCACAUCUUACUCAUACCUUUGAGAGGGGGAAAACUCUAGACUAAAAAAAGAAAUUAAAGGGCUCUUUAGUCGCAGUUAGCAUCGAUGAGGAUGUACCAAUUUACAAACAAUGACAAGUCAUUUUGUUCUAAUGCAAAGCACUUAGAUACAAGAUCCAGUUUUGACAAAAGCUCAAGUGUUUUCUUCCAAGUAAAAACUAUAUAUUUUAUCAAAAGAGAAGUCACCAAAGCAAUGAACAUGCAUCUUUUGAAUUGAUAAUUGCUCCAACUAUAUAUAAUUCGUUGCAAAAUUUGAAGUAAAGUUUGGCUCUGAUUUUGUGCACCUCAAGUCAAUCAGCCGAGUCUUUUAGGUUGAACACCAGAAGUAUGGGCCUCCUCAAUACGUCUGGUAAGCAAUGAUAUUCCGUAAUGUGAGGCACUUGAAGCAGUGUAAUAUGAAGUCAUCGUAAGUUGAGUAAACCUUGGAAGUGCAUAUCCUGUAAUGCAAAAUCUGGUCAUUUACACAUCGAAAAUUACUUUCAUAAAUAAGAUUAAAGCAUGGGAAAAGAUCUUUGAUUAUUGUCAUUAAAGUACUUUCCAAUGAAUGUAAAAAUGAGUAGCUACUUUAUUUUCCUUUAAAUGGCACUUUCCCAUGAAUUAUUCCUUCAAAAUAUUAUAAAGAGCUAUAAUUUAUUGAUAUACGAAAUUCUAGUUUUGAAAAAUAAAGUGAAGAAAUACUUCUUUGGGACAAGUAGGGGGAGAGGGUCGGGUGGGCCUGCUUUUUCAAUCAAUCUCUGGGAGCUCGGUGCCGAGCACAUCUAAGAGAAAAAUAGAAAAAGGAUUUCAAUUGGCUACCUAUCUUCACCCACCCUAAGCAAGAUCAGUUCAGCAGGCCAAUUCACGUAUCUGCUGCAGAGUACUAGCGUCACCCCUAUGAGCUAUCUUGUCCCCUGGAUACAAUCUAUUGUUCUGAAAAGGUCGAAAUAUACCCUCAUACUAUGUGAAAUUGAGUAUAUUUUUCUUCCGUUUAUACUUCAAUUUACUUGAGCCCUUAGCAUAAAAUACUUGGUCCAAAUACGCCCUUAUUCUGCUCAAUUGCGCAUAGUAUUUGGACCAAGUAUUUGACGGUAAGGGCAUAAGUGAACUAAAGUACUAACGUAGGGCAAAUCUGCUCAAUUUUGCAUAGUAUAAGGGUAUAUUUGGACUUUCUCUGUAUAUUGUUUAAACUUGGUACCAAGAAUAAGUACGACAAAGCGAUAACUAAAAAAACUAAGUCUAGUAAAGUCAGUUAUGUCUACAAUUCUCCAAAUUUAAAAGUAUUUGAAUCUUCGGAUCCUUGAUUGUGCCUAGCAUGACACUAUUGUUCACUGACCAUGCCUCUUAUUCAAGUGCUAAACAUUUCUCAUCGUGACAAGAAGAUGCUCAUAUCUUGAAGAAGACGAACAUCAGCAUAACAGAAAGUUUGCUCAACAAUGAUCAGAAACUAACAAGUUCGAAUAUAUGGCAUACAUUCAACAAAAUACGGGUACAUGAACUGUAGAAGACACAAAAUUUGUGGACUACUACACUUUUGACAUUGAGCUGUAAGAAAUGAAAAUGUGCUUAAAUUUAUUUUAUAUGCAUAGAUUGCAGUUUUUGUGGCUACUUAGUUCACAUGAUAUGAGAAUGAACUUGUCAACCACAUGGCCACGGAAGCUACAUGUGUGAUGUAACCUUUUCUUCUCUUCGAGAAUUAUUUCCAGGUGAGGUUCGUCUACUUUUCCAUCAAGUGUCAUAACACUUCCUUAGUGCUGGUUUAAACAUUAGUCAUGCUCAUCACAACAACAUUUUCAGCGUAGUCCCACAAAGUUGGGUUUGGGAAGGAUAAAGUGUAUGCAAACCUUACCUCUAUCUCAAGGUAGAGAGACUAUUUCCGAUAGACCUUACCUCUACUACAAAGUGGGGUUUAGACAUCAGUCAUUCAAAAAUAAAAUAAAAUGCACCCUGUUGAUCCCACAUUAUAUUAUUACAACAAUUACCUUACUUGAUCGAUUAAGGUACAACUUUAAAAUACGACAGAUCAACACUAGAGGAGUUAUUUCUGAUAUAUGUGAUAGUUAGCUUCUCACUUAAUGGAAUAUGAAAAUACAAGACCUUUCGAGAACGGGUGAUAUCUCUCACCAAAAAUAUGUUAUUUCCAUCGAAAAAGUAACUGGAGUAAGGUUGAACAGGAGCGAAAGUAGUUUUUCGUCAAGUUUAAAAAAUCAAAGUGAUUCAUGUUACCCUUAUAAAAAAAAAAUAAAAAAUCAAAGUGAUUCUACUCUACGUACAACAAGAAAUAGAUCAAAGUAUGUCUUCUUGAUUACAGCAUUCUUUUCAUGAUUCCUUACAGGAUAUAGUUGAAAGCAAUGUUCAUUAGAAGUAGAUAAACAAGGAGUGAAAAUAUCACCAACAAUUAUAUACUUGCGUAAAACAGAAGAUUAUACAUUAGGUUUUCUUAAAUACUCAAAACACUGAUGGGAUAAAGUGAUAUUCAAUUAUAUUAAGAUAGAAAAAGUAAACUAAAACAGAGAUAUCCAAUAUAUAUUCUAGCAAGUAAUUAUUGCAUUAACCUUCAAAUUACCAACUUUUAAGUAUUGGUGCAUAGGGAAGUAUUGUUGCUCAGGAUUACUUAUCAAAAAAAAAGUUAAUAUGAUGAGUGUCAUGGCAACUUUAUCAUCAAUUCAUAACGUAACACAUGCUAAAUUGAAAGAAUAAAGAUUAGAAUGAAAUUAGAAAUUCAUAGAAUUACCUCCAAAUGUUGCGCUAGCUGCAGAGAACACGAGUAGUGGAGGAAGCUGCAAGAACAAAACAAAGGGAAAGGUGAAGCUUUAGAUAACACAUCAAUUGUAUACUCAACUAUAAAUAGAAUACAAUGAAUAGGAAUAAAAGAGGAAGAAAAGAGUCUAAGAUAAGAAAAGUGGAUUAAGUGCCUACCCCUAUAACAAAUGGAAGCCACUUUGGACCCUUCACGUGUCUCUGGACAAAAGGAAUUCCUGAAAAGUGCUAGCAUUAAGACGUUAGCUAUGAAUUCAUUAGAUAAAAGAGAGGGAAGUAUUUAGUUUAAGAUUUCAACCACGAUUUACUACAAGAAGAGUAAUACAAUAAAGAAAAGAAAGAUAAGCACAGAAGAGAUGAUUAAUUAAUCAUGCCUGUAUUGAAACCAUGAAUUGCACUGAGCAGUCCACCAAUUCCAGAGCCAGCCUACACAAAGGUAAAGAAUAUUACUUUAACUAGUUGGUAAAAGCUCUUCAUAUUAUGAUUGCGCUAUAACUCUGUUCACUAUGGCUUUAUUAGCCUUGUCCAAUCGAUUAUAAAAAUUAUGAUUAGUAAGACAAGGGUAAAAUAUUCGACUUCAGGUAAAAGAUAGUCUUUCAGAUUUUCAGGUGGAAGACAUUCAAAAACGAAACCCUUUCAGGGGUCACAAUAGACACUUUCCUCUGCAUUGAACUCAACUAAGCUCAAUUCCAAUUUACUAUGAAACAAAAUUUUGAAGUUUUGGACAUAUACAAAAUAUUCAUAUAACAUUAAGAGCUCUUCGGCAUCAACCACUUUCAGCAUCAACAUGGUGUGAUAUUGUGCUUUGGCCCAAGCCUGCACGAUUUCCCAAAGGGCCUCACGCCAUUAAGACUAUCCCCAUACUUUUUUCCAUGACCAUGGUUUUGGGCUAGGUUACCAAUCUCAAGAAGAGGAUUCAACAACUUAUAAGUAGUUUACGUUUCUUUUUAGCUACUAGUAUGGAUUUUGUUUGUGGACACACAACAAUUUUCCUUAUUAACUAAGUUCCACAUGAUCCAUUACCAUUCAUGGGCUAAUUCGGAGCUGGUCCCUACACCAUCACUACAUCAUCUCCCUACUCAUCUCGCAAUCAUUAAGUUAAACAACUGAAAGAUACACUUAACAUGUGUUAUAUUGUCCGCUUUGGGACAAGCAUGUACAGUUUCCCUAAAGGGCCUCAUACUAUUAAGGGGUCGCUUAGUUGAGAACAAGUUAUACCGAAAUUAAUCAUCGGGAUAUAAGUUAUUUCACCGUGUAUAUGAGAUAAUUUAUUCCAUUACUAAGGUCUAAAUAGUGGGAUAAAUAAUCUCAAGACUGCCUAAUACCUCUAACCAGACGCAAGAUAAAAUAAUCCCGCAUUCAGUCCCUAAGAUUAUUAUACCUUAUCUCUCACACUAAACGACUCCUAAGAUAACCAACACUUAUCAUUAAUAGCUUACUUUUUAUUUUCAAUUACCAAAGUGGGACUUUGAUCACAAAUACCAACACCAUUCAAUCUUAAAAUUUGUGACUACUUAGGUAAAUUUUAAUCAUAACAACAGAUUUGGCUAGUUCGAUCUUGCAGUUCAAAUACCAUUCGAAACAGGUAAUAUAGCAUACUAACCACAGCCGUGAAAUCAUGUAGAACAGGAGUAAUCGCCCAUUCUCCACUUUUCUGCAACCGAAAUCAAACAGAAACAACUCAAAUUACUAGCUAGGCAUUUCAUCAAGCAUGUACUAGGCAAGAUGUGGACAAUUACAAAACACAAAAAAACGAGUAGAACAUGAUACAUACUGAAUUGGAGUUCAAGAGAGAAAGACAACGAGGACAUCUAGCAGAGCCGAGGCCAGGUUUAAUUGUUGGAUCAUGAUGCAGAUUCCCUCUCUUCAAUUUUUCUUCGUAUACCUCUCGUGUUCCCAUGUCAAUUGAGGGAGAAGCAAAAAAAGAGAACCUUUCAGCUCGUGUGUAGAAUACGAUAUAAGAUGAUUUGAGAUUGGGCCUGUAAUGGAUGUUGGACUUGAGUUUUGGAGCAUUAUGGCCCAAAAGUAGGAAAAUAAAAAGGUACAAUUUACAUAAAUCUCACAAGACCUAAGUACAUUAUUUUCCUACUCUUUUCUAAAUUACAUCUCUUCUGUGCUUAUCUUUGUUUUCUUUAUUGUAUUACUCUCCUUAUAGUAAAUCGUGGUUGAAAUCUUAAACUAAAUACUUCCCUAUCUUUUAUUUAAUGAAUUCAUAGCUGAAGUCUUAAUGCUAGUACUUUUCAGGAAUUCCCUUUGCCCAGAGAUGCGUGAAGGGUCCAAAGUGGCUUCCAUUUGUUAUAGGGGUAGGCACUUAAUCCACAUUUCUGAUCUUAAACUCUUUUCUUCCUCUCUAAAUCCUAUUCAUUGUAUUCUUGAUUUGUGUUGUACAGAAAUCUAUGUAUAGUUGAGUAUACAAUUGAUGUGUUAUCUAAAGCUUCACCUUUCCCUUUGUUUUGUUCUUGUAGCUUCCUCCACUACUCAUGUUCUCUGCAGCUAGCGCAACAUUUGGGGGGUAAUUCUAUGAAUUUCUUAUUUCAUUCUAAUCUUUAUUCUUUCAAUUUAGCAUGUGUUACGUUAUGAAUUGAUGAUAAAGUUGUCAUGACACUCGACAUAUUAACUUUUUUUUUUUGAUAAGUAACCCUCAGCAACAAUACUUCCCUAUGCACCAAUACUUAAAAGUAGGUAAUUUGAAGGUUAAUGCAAUAAUUACUUGCUAGGAUAUAUAUUGAGCAUCUCUGUUUUAGUUUACUUUCUCUAUCUUAAUAUAAUUGGAUAUCACUUUAUCCCAUCAGUAUUUUGAGUAUUUAAGAAAACCUAAUGUAUAAUCUUUCGUUUUACGCAAGUAUAUAAUUGUUGGUUAUAUUUUCACUCCCUGCUUAUCUACUUCUAAUGAACAUUGCUUUCAACUAUAUCCUUUAAGGAACCAAAAUUUAUAAUGGAUGUGAAAAGAAUGUUGUAAUAAAAAAGACAUACAUUGAUAUGUUUCUUGUUGUACAUAGAGUAGAAUCUCUUUGAUUCUUUAAACUUGACGAAAAACUGCUUUCGCACUUGUUCAAACUUACUCCAGUUACUUUUUUGAUGGAAAUAACAUAUUUUUGGUGAGAGAUAUCACUAGUUCUCGAAAGGUCUUGUAUUUUCAUGUUCCAUUAAGUGAGAAGCUAACUAUCACAUAUAUCAGAAAUAACUCUAGUGUUGAUCUGUCGUAUUUUAAAGUUGUACCUUAAUCGACCAAGUAAGAUAAUUGUUGUAAUAAUAUAAUGUGGGAUCAACAGGGUGCAUUUUAUAUUAUUUUUGAAUGACUGAUGUCUAAACCCCACUUUGUAGUAGAGGUAAGGUCUAUCGAAAAUAGUCUCUCUACCUUGAGAUAGGGGUAAGGUUUGCAUACACUUUAUCCUUCCCAAACCCAACUUUGUGGGACUACACUGAAAAUGUUGUUGUGAUGAGCAUGACUGAUGUUUAAACCAGCACUAAGGAAGUGCUAUGACACUUGAUGGAAAAGUAGACGAACCUCACCUGGAAAUAAUUCUCGAAGAGAAGAAAAGGUUACAUCACACAUGUAGCUUCCGUGGCCAUGUGGUUGACAAGUUCAUUCUCAUAUCAUGUGAACUAAGUAGCCACAAAAACUGCAAUCUAUGCAUAUAAAAUAAAUUUAAGCACAUUUUCAUUUCUUACAGCUCAAUGUCAAAAGUGUAGUAGUCCACAAAUUUUGUGUCUUCUACAGUUCAUGUACCCGUAUUUUUUCUUAUAAGAAAAUUUCACAUGUUCUGGUACCCGUAUCUUGUUGAAUGUAUGCCAUAUAUUCGAACUUGUUAGUUUCAGAUCAUGGUUGAGCAAACUUUCUGUUAUGCUAAGGUUAAUUGUCUUCUUCAAGAUAUGAGCAUCUUCUUGUCACGAUAAGAAAUGUUGAGCACUUGAAUAAGAGGCGUGGUCAGUGAACAGUAGUGUCAUGCCAGGCACAAUCAAGGAUCCGAAGAUUCAAAUACUUCUAAAUUUGGAGAAUUGUAGACAUAAUUGACUUUACUAGACUUAAUUUUUUUAGUUAUUGCUUUGUCGUACUUAUUCUUGGUACCAAGUUUAAAAAAUAUACAGAGAAGGUCCAAAUAUACCCUUAUACUAUGCAAAAUUGAGCAGAUUUGCCCUACGUUAGUACUUUAGUUCACUUAUGCCCUUACCGUCAAAUAUUUGGUCCAAAUACUAUGCGCAAUUGAGUAGAAUAAGAGCGUAUUUGGACCAAGUACUUGAUGCUAAGGGCUCAAGUAAAUUGAAGUAUAAACAGAGGAAAAAUAUGCUCAAUUUCACAUAGUAUGAGGGUAUAUUUGGACCUUUCCAGAACAAUAGAUUGUAUUCAGGGGACAAGUUAGCUCAUAAGGCUAACGCUAGUACUCUGCAGUAGAUGCGUGAAUUGGCCUGCUGAACUGAUCUUGCUUAGGGUGGGUAAAGAAGGGUAUCGAAUUGAAAUCCAUGCACUUCUUUUUCUAUUUUUCUCUUAGAUGUGCUCGGCACCAAGCGCCAAGAGAUUGAUUGAUUGAAAAGGCAGGCCCACCUAACCCUCUCCCCCUACUUGUCCCAAAGAAGUAUUUCUUCACUUUAUUUUUCUAAACUAGAAUUUCGUAUAUCAAUAAAUUAGGUUGUUUACAAUAUUUUGAAGGAAUAAUUCAUUGAAAGUGUCAUUUAAAGGAAAAUAAAGUAGCCACUCAUUUUUACAUUCACUGGAAAGUACUUUAAUGACAAUAAUCAAAGAUCUUUUCCCAUGCUUUAAUCUUAUUUAUGAAAGUAAUUUUUGAUGUGUAAAUGACCAAAUUUUACAUUACAGGAUAUGCACUUCCAAGGUUUACUCAACUUACGAUGACUUCAUAUUACACUUCUUCAAGUGCCUCACAUUACGGAAUAUCAUUGCUUACCAGACGUAUUGAGGAGGCCCAUCCUUCUGGUAUUCAACCUAAAAGACUCAGCUGAUUGACUUGAGGUGCACAAAAUCCGAGCCAAACUUUACUUCAAAUUUUGCAACGAAUUAUAUAUAGUUGGAGCAAUUGUCAAUUCAAAAGAUGCAUGUUCAUUGCUUUGGGGACUUCUCAUUUGAUAAAAUAUAUAGUUUUUACUUUGUAAUAAUAGGAAUGUUUGAACUUGGAAGAAAACACUUGAGCUUCUGUCAAAACUGGAUCUUGUAUCUAAGUGCUUUGUAUUAGAACAAAAUGUCUUGUCAUUGUUUGUAAAUUUGUACAUCCUCAUCGGUACUAACUGCGACUAAAGAGCCCUUUAAUUUCUUUUUUAGGUUGAGAGUUUUCUACCCUACAAAGGUACGGGUAAGAUGUGCAUACAUCCUACCUUCAGACUUGACUUGUGGAAUUACAAUAGGUAUGUUGUUGUUGUAGUCACUUCUCCCUUACUAACUUUAUAUCUCCGAAGGCUGCAGGAGUGUUGGGUUAAAGAGAGAAUUUUAUAGCCUGACUUGCACAACAUGUUUUGGACCAAAUAUUUGACGCUAAGGGCAUUAGUGAUUUGAAGUAUUAACGGAGGGAAAAUAUGCUUAAUUUUGCAUAGUAUGAGGGUAUAUUUGGACAUUUCUCGAACAAUAUAUUGUAUCCCGAGGACAAGUUUGCGUUAGUACUACGCAGAAGAUGCAUGAACUAAUCUUGCUUAGGGCGGGUGAAGAAGGGUAUACAAUUGAAAUCUAUGCACUUUUUUUUCUUUCUAUUUUUCGCUUAGAUGUGUUUGACAUACUUGUAUCUUAUUUAUCAAAGUAAUUUUCAAUGGGUGAAUAACCAUAUUCCUGGGUAAUUUUACAUAUGCACUUCCCAGGUUUACUCAACUUACAAUGACUUCGUAUUAUAAUGUUUCAAAUGCAUCACAUUCAGAGACGUAUUCACAAUUUCAGAAGGAUGGUGUAUUAUUAUGAAAAGAUGCAUCUAAGAUAUAAAUUUAUUCGUUUUGAUCUUUAAGUUCUUAACAUUGAAUUGUUAAAUUUUAAAAAUAUAGAUUCAAAAUACAUAAUGCAAUAGCUCGCAAACCACACAGGUCAACCCACACUAGGCAAGUGUGAGGUCGACCCAGAAGGCAAACCCACUGGCAAGUGGUAUUGAACUUGAGACCUCCAACUUUUGGGACUUGCAAAACAUACAUCUUUUUGUGUUGGUUACAUAAAUUUGCAGUAUCCAGAUACAUAAAACUAGGAUUUCCUAAAUAACAUGAGGCACAAGUCUAGCUAAACUAGAAGCAACCUAUAUCAAGACUUUUCAGAUCCAAAUUACUCAUAUAUGGCUCUAAUAUACAAUAUUAGAUCAUAAAGCAAGGUCAAAAACAUUGAGAACAAAUCCUCUACAAGACGGUGUUAAAAUCUAAGAUCCAGAUUAGUAGAUCUAGUUCCUUAAUUCCCUAUGAAAAAAGAAGAAAGAGACAACGUCGCCUUGAUAGUCUAGGGCCCUUAUGCAGACCACAUAGUAACAUCAGUCACAACUCAACCAGAUCUUAUUAACAACUUCAUAUCAAACAUCAAAUAAACAGAAAUCUGCGCAAAAUUCCAUUAUCGUAAAACAAAAGUGGAAUCAUCAACAAGCGCCAAUCAUCCAAGAAAGAUUCACUAAACAGAAUGCUAAAACAAAACUACUCUAACCUCAAUAUUACAACUUACUAUAAAAUUUUAACACAAAAUAUAGCAAAGAGCACAGAAACUACAAAAAAAAAUUAGAAAACUGAAAAAGGAUAGAAGAUUACCGGUGAGGAUAUCCUGAUAAACCAACAUGGUUAACAUGGUUGAAGAGUAGCCUUUUGCUUUCUCUCUCUAAAAGGGAGGAUUAAUAGUUAGAGAGAGGAAGAAAACGACGGACUAGUGAGGGCUCGAGAAGGAGGGUUUUGGGUGGUGUACGGUAUCUUUAUAGCUGGAGCACUUGGUAAAUUGACCAAAUAAACCCGACUUUAAUCAGGAAUUACGUGAUUGCCUAUCCCAAUUUGAGUAGGGUUCUGAAUGUCGUCGCAGUCUGCACCAUGUCACAACAGGAGCACAGGCCAUUUUACACUACUGCCCCCACCCCCUCCCCCCACACACAACCAUUUUCUAAUUAUUGUGACAGUUUUUUAGUAAAUUAAUUGAUUAGAAAAUGAAUGAUUUUUUAAAAAUUAUAAAAUGUGGCAUUUGUUUCAGAGGAUUAAAGUUGAAAGUGUGUUAAGAGCGCAAGCAAUAAUUUCAAGUUUUGAAUAUGAAGAAAAUUAUUAGCAAAAAAAUGCUUUUCCUGAUCGGAUUUUCACGGCGCAAAUCCAAAAAUUCUUAAAUUCUUAGAUACGUCUUACACGACACAAAUAUAAAUUAAUCAAACUUCAAUACAAGUAGUGGACACCGAUACGAAAGUAAAAAGAAAAGAAAGACUGUGCCCAAAGUUAAUAGUGACACGCUUGUUUAAUCUUUGAAUGCUAGUAUAUAAUUAAUAUGAUGGAACAAGAACAAUUUGAUUCCUUCUUCAAAAGGUAUAUUUAUUUUCGUUCUUUUAAAAGAAUCUUCUAUCCAGUAUUGCUACCUUGAUAUAUAAGUCCAUCUUACUUAAAAAUUCAAUAUUACAAUAUGACAGUUAUUCGAAGAAAUUUUUCCCGAAAAAACAGAUUUCUUUCAUUACACAUGCAUAACACCACCACCAAUAUACCCUUCGGGGUGGCCCAAUGGUUUGGGCUUGUGACUUCCAUAUUGGAGGUCUCAAGUUCGAAACUCUGCCAGCGAAAGCAAGGGGUUUGUCUUAUGGGUCGAGCUCGUCGCACCGGGCUUGCCUAGUACGGGUUACAUCUCUUAUGUGAUUUGCGAGCUAUUGCAUAGGAGCGGGGGUUUUACCCUGUGCGCACCCAAAAGGAUAGUGGCUGCGGAUUUCCCUUGUCAUAAAAAAAAAAAAAAAAAAAAACACAACCACCAAUAUCACUAAUAAUCAUAUUGCAAAAUUGAUAUUGCGGGAAGUUGUGCGCUUAAAUUAGUAUACCUGCCUUCUUGUCAAGUUAUGAUACUACAGUUGAUGAUUUUUUGCCUUAUUUUCGAUAGAUUAAUAAUAAUUGGUAAUAUUGCAUUUCAAUUAAGAAAAACCAAAGAAUUAGGGGUUAGUUUGGUCUGUGUGACCUCCUUUACCAAUCUCCUAUAGAGGUUAGGUGGUCAAUACACCGGUCUGAGUCCCUCUUAAUAAAAUGAGGUAUGGGAACCAGCCUCUUCGAAGAUUGCUGGUAUCACUGGACCAAUUUGAUGAAUUUUCCUAUCAAGUUCAAGGUGUGCCACAACACAAGAAGCAAGGUUGGCGCAGCAACUAAGUCAUCCCCAGUCACAAGCACAUAUAAGACGGAUCUCAUUUUGGGCAGCUAUUGUCCAAAACUAAAGCUAAAAGUUCCAAUUGACAAAGUCUCAAUUGCCAAUAUAGCUUAGGUCAUUAAAGUCAUACAACAGGAAAGUAUACAAAUGAACAAAUUCAAGAAGAGAUCCACAUACUACCAGACACCUCUUAAUAUCAGUAAUCAACAAGCAAGAGUUUUGCAGAGGCUAAAAUGUGCAAAGCUUCACCGAGGUGUCUAGUAGCAGCGAAAGCCCAAAAGGCUGGGCUUCCCCUUUUACCAGACACACCCUUUCGACCAAACACAUGACACAACCUAACACACAAAAUCCACUCAACCAUGAUAAGAAAAACAUCUCUUUAUAUUCUUGAUAAUGCUUUUUUAGGGGAAAAGAACUACAAUCAACUUAAAUACCUUUGCGCUUAACUCACAUCCAUACACCUUCUCCAAAAGAAUAAGUUAUAUCUAUCUAGUCAAAAUUAAAGCCUUUAGCACAGAUCGUUCUAUGGAUCUAAAAUUAACUCAUAAUCCAUGUUUUCAAGUAUACAAAUAUAUAUAUAUAUAUAUAUAUAUAUAUAUAGAUCUAAACCAACUCAUAAUCCAUACUUUUAUGAACACAAAUAUACAUAGAUCUAAAACCAACUCAUAAUCAUGCUUUUAAAGCACACAAAUAUACAUAGAUCUAACCGAAUUAUUGAAAAUUUACAAUUAUAGCCCUGAACGAUCUAACCGAAAUUCAUGUUUUCAGCUUAGGUACAUCUAUAUCUCUCAAAAAACUGUAAAUUCAUUAUUUUCACACAAAAAAUGCAUAGAUCUAAACUAAAAUCCAGUAUUUCAACUACAUAAAACCAAACCAAACCAAAUAAAGCAUCAAUUACAUCAAAAAGCUACCUGAUAGUCGGAUAAUUCAAAUUCGGAAAUAAACCAAAACGGUCAACGCCUAAAAAGCUGCACCAAUUCUCGCAAAGCUGUAUAAAAAAUCUACGAGUCAAAACCUAAAAGCUGUAUAUACACACACCCAAAAAGAAUAAAAAAGCAAAACUAAAAGUGAGAAGAGAAUUCGGCGUACCUGAUUUAUAAGUACAGAGACGAAACGGUAAAGAGAAGAGUUGUGGAAAUUUCGCAAUACGCGUUGUAGAAAUAUGGAGAAGAUUGGGUUUUGUUUUUAUAUGGACGAUAGCGUCAAUUUACCUAAUUGGCCGUUUGAUUUUAAUUAUACCACGUGUGCACAAUCGAGUGACACGCCUUUUUUUUUUUAGUGAAAUAUACUUAGGAGAAUUAUUGGAGUGUAGGACCCACUUGAAUAAGAAAUAUCAUUAUACAUUUGUAAUUAUGUGAAAUGGUCCGAACUUAUCUUUAAAAAAAUGUGAAAUACUUUCUAUGGUCACUGGUCAGAAUUUAAGUUUGCGGAAAAUAUUAUAAGUUUUAUUUUUUUUUGUAUAAAUAUGAUAAAAUUUACAUUUAUAAUCUAGUUCUUCUAGAUAAAUCGCAAUUAUAAUAAUUAUAUUUUCGCUCUUAAAAAUAGUAUGUGGGAACUGUUGUUGUUCUCUAUGCGCUCCCUUUUAAGAUGCUCACUAAAAGAAACACUAAGAGAUAAGAUUCAAAAACACACCUAAAUUAUAUUUAUUUUCUGAGUUUCAUACCUAAACUAUUGAAAGUGUGAGUUUCAUACAUAAACUAUCACUUAUUAAUUUGAGAUGAGAAACACACCUCUCUCUCUUUUAUAUCACUCUCAUCAUGGUGUGUAAUAUACUCUCUCUUUUAUUUUAAAAAACUAUCAUAUCACACUCCACAUGGACAAAAUAUUUUACUUUGACAAAAAAUAAAUAAAUUAUUAGUAUUAGUUAAAAUUAAAGAUUAUAAUUAUUAUCCCAAAAUAAUAAUAUUUUUUAUAAAAUAAAAAAGUAAAAUAUUUUUCUUACCCCAGUCCAUUCACUUCCUCCCCCCCCCCCCCGGCACCCUUUUUUUAGUUUUUUUUUGUUUAAAUAUCUUUUAUAAAAGUAUUUAAUUUUUUUACUUCAUCCCCCUUCCCCUCCAAUACUAAUUUAGAUAUUUUAUUUUAAAAAAAAUAAUUCUAUCCACUAGUCACAUAACCCUCCGCUUCUUUCUCGUUUUGUGUUAUAUAUAUAAUAUUUGUCACUUGCCGCCGCAAGACUUUUUUAAAAUAAAUUUUGUAUUUAUGUUAUAUAUGGUACACAAGUAAAAAAAAUAAAUCCUAGAAAUAUAUGUACAUAUAUAACACAAAACGAGAAAAAUGUAAAAUAAAUAAAUAAAUCAGAAGUGGAGAGUUAAAUAGGAUGGGGUAGCAUAUUUGUUAAAAUAAAAUAAUAUAAUUUUUUUGGGGGAAUGAGUGAGUGUUUUUUUUUUGGGAAGGGGUAGGUGAGGGAGGGUGAAGUAAAAAAUAUAUUAAUAGUUUAUUAUUUAAUUUUUGUUAAGGUGGAAUAUUUUAUCCACAUGGAAUGUCAUAUGUCAAGGUUUUUUCAAAUAAAAGAGAGAGUACAUUACACACACCACUGAGGUGUGUUUCCUAAACUAAAAAGUGAUAGUUUAGGUAUGAAACUCACACUCUCGAUAGUUUAGGUAUGAAACUCAAAAAAAUGGGAUAGUUUAGAUGCAUUUUUGACACUUAUCUCAAGCACUAAUAAUAUUUUUACUCAAAGUUAUCUAUGUAAUUAGAUAUUUCCUUCGCAUAUAAUUCACUUUUCUCAAUUAUUAGCUUCGUUGGAAGAUCAUCUAUAACACCUCACAACUAGAAAGAACUAGAAGGAAGUUUAAAAUCUGGAAAUAGUUAUUUUUGGGAAGAAUUUAAAAAUCUGGAAAUUUGGUAAAGGUAUUAAAGUGAGUUUUUGGUCAACUUCAAAUGACCAUAAUUAGGGCUGGGCAUUCGGUAAUUCGGUUCGGUUUUGAUUUUUUUUUUUCGGUUUUCGGUUCUUGUACCACACGUACCGAACACCGAACCGAAUUAUUUCGGUUCGGUUCGGUUUUUAUUAAUUCGGUUUGGUUUUUUUUAGGACCUGUUUGGUGAGCUUUUAAAAUUUAAAAUUUUGUAAUUUUUUUGUUUGAUUUUUCAGCUUAAUGGGCAAAAAAUAAGUGGUCCUUAGAUUAAUUAAAUUAGUAGUACAUCUUUUUUGUGGUGAUGCCUGAGUGUUGGUCGACUGGCGGCUGCUGCGUGCUGCCAGUCUGCUGCAUGCUACCGCUGAGCUGCUGCGUGUUGCGUGCUGGACUGUUGCGUGCUGCCUGCCGCUGAUCGGCCGGUCGACGCCGGAGCCCGGAAGUGGAAACUGGAAAGUGGGAAACUGAACGAUGUGCGGGCUGCGGCAAAUUAGAAAAGUUUGAACUUUGAAAAGUGCUCUGUCUCUUUGACCUAAUUUACCUAUAAAAUAUAAAUUAUUAAAUUAUAAUAUUCAUUAUUUAAUAUUAAUAUAUAUUAUAAUAUAAUAUAAUAUUAUUUCGGUAAACCAAAAAACCGAAUAAUACAAAAAUUACAUACCGAAAAUCGAACCGAAAUACCGAAAAAUACAAAAAUAUAUACCGAAAACCGAAAUACCGAAACCGAAAUACCGAAAUAAUUCGGUUCGGUUCGGUUUUUCGAUUUUUCGGUGUUUAUGCCCAGCCCUAGCCAUAAUUCCUAGUUCAGGAUGAGUUAGGUGUGAUUCCAGAUAUGGUUGGAAAGCCCUUGGAAUGAUCUUUCCAACUCUGCCAAAUUUGCGUGAUUCCGAGUUCGUAUGAGUGAAGUACGCCCAUUGGAAGUUGGGUUGUUCAAAUAAGGAAAUGUCCAAUUUGGAUUUUUGAAAGGUAUUUCAGUCUUUUCCUUAUCCAAGUAAUUAAAUUCGUUUUAGUGAAUUAAUUAAGGGUCUAAACUGAACUUGGUUAGUUUUACGCUUUUGGAAAAGAGUUAGGGUUUUAGAGAAGACGAAACAAGAGGAGAAAAGAAAAGGAGAAGCAAGGAAAUCGUCAAGUUCGUCGAGUUUAGCUUGUGGAUUUCAUCGAGGGUGAUCCCUACAAGGUAUGUGAGAUCACAUAGCGUUGGGUUAAUUCGCCCACGCGCCAAUCAUGAUUUAUUUUAGCGAAUUUAAGUUCUUGAAAGCUUAGAAAUUGAGUUCUUGAAUGGGUUUGUUGAAGUUUCAUUAGAUUCUUGUUUCGUUGAAUUCGUUGAGGAGUUGUUUGAUCAUAAUCUGUGAUUUUAGGUUCGAUUUUGAGUAGAAUCUGAUGUACUUUGAACAUUUAAUCGAUUAUAAGUGUUGGGUAAAAGAACCCACAGAGUUUAGAGGGUUUAGAAUUGAAAAACGAAGAAGAAAUUUCGUCAGUCGAAAUUUGGCACUACCUCCGCGUCUCGGAGCUACCUACCAGAUUUGGGAAAAUUCGGUUAGCAUCGCGGAGCGGUCACAGACCGUUCUGCCUCAAAAGCAGUUUUUGAAACUACAUUGUAAAAGCUUCUCCGCGUCGCGGACCUACCCUCAAAUAUUGAUUUUCGGUUUUUUCUCAUGUUUAGCUAUCUAAAAUCAUUCCUAAACAUCAUGUGAUCUUUCCAAUCACAAAUCAAAAUCCUUGAAUCCAUAAUUCAAUUCAAGGACCAGUUAAGAGUCAAGUCAAGAGCAGUUAAGAUCAAAGUCAAUAGAAGUUCUUAGAGUCUUCCAAAAGUCUUUUCCAAAUGUUUUAACUUUUUUUUAAGACUUAAAGUUCAAGUUGAGUAAAGAGUAAAGUUUGAAGUCCAUUUCUUCAAAAGUAUAUGGGAACUAUGUAUUCCCAAAGGGUUUAAAAUGUUUUCACAUUUAAACAAGAAAGGAAACCUCGAUUUCCAAAGGGCCUUCGGGUUAGUUUUCAGAAAAGAGUAAUCGCUUUCUAAAUGAAGCGCAUAGACUAGUGGAUCCACUUAGUAGUUCAGGUCCUAUAUCUGUGGCAAGGUAUAGGAUGUGUUGCAGCGUGAGGGAGAUCGAUGUAUCAUCACAAUAGCUCUUAUGUGAUGGUUGUUGGUUAGAGAAACUCCCACAUCAGUACUUUGUAUUUUUAUAUACAUCAGUUUAUUUGUAUUUUUACAUACAUCUCAGAGUUAUUUGUAUCUUUGCAUACACACAGAGUUGACAUCCUGUUUUAAAUAGCUUUUCUUUAUAUUGCACUUGUUUUAAACUGCUUUAUAUUGAAAUGAGUUCAGUUAUGUUGAGUUGAGUUGAGCCAGGUAAGUUCUUCAGUUCCUUUCAGAUUCUUUUCAAGCCUAUGUUGUGUUUAGCAUUUCAACUCGCAUACUCGUACAUUCAAUGUAUUGAUGCCAGUUGGUCUACAUCGUAUUAUGAUGCAGAUAUAGGUAACUAGGAUUGGCAUCCGGCUCAUCGUUGAUCCAGUUGAGCACUUUAGAGUCAGUGGUGAGCCUCAUUGCAUUCCGGAGGACUCCUUUAUUGCUUUUAGUUCUUUGUAGUAUUUCAUUUGUUAGGAUGAUCGGGGGUCCUAUCCUGACAUCCAUCUCCAUUGUUUUAGAGGCUUCAUAGACAGUCAGAUGUUAGUUCUUUAGUCUUUUCAUUGUCAUUUUUCCAUGUUGAGACUUGAGUUUGCCUUAAUAGCUAGUUGAAUGUUCUUUUAUAACAUUCUAGUUUACUAUAUAAACUUAUUUUGUUGAGUUUAAGUCUUCCGCUGAGUAAGUAAGCCAGGUCAAGGGUUCGCUUGGAGCCAGCAAUGGUUCUCGAGUGCCAGUCACGUCUGGGGUGUAGGCUCGGGGCGUGACAUUAUCAACUUUUGACCACUAUAAUCUUACGUUAAUCACUAAAAUACUAUCAUAAAUUAUUUAAAAGAUGAAUUGUGUAUCUAUGUAUUUGUGUUUUGCAUUGAUAGAUUAAUGUGGGAUACACAAUAUAUUAAUGUGGGAUACACAAUAUGGAUAUUAACAUUUUGAGAAAGUUUGAUGAUGGAAUUGUGAUGAAAAAGUUUCAAUUUGUGUGAAAAUUAAAUAUAUUGAUACAAUUGAUUGUUGUUUAAAAUUUAUUUAAAUUGAUUUGAGGUUUGAGAGUAGUCGUUAUUAUUAUCUUUGGACAAAUUCAAAUUAUUUUACAUAGUUUAAUUUGAUUAUUUUUCUUGUAAAGAAAAAGUCUCACUUAUGUGUUCCCAAACCAUUGAUAUAGUCAGACAAAUUUAACUAUCUUGGUAAUGAUAAAAUAGUUAUAACUCAACUGUUAGAACGAAUUUAAAUCAUUUUACAAAAAUCAACCAUAAUUUUGAUUAUUUUCUUGGAUCCUAAUUUUUUUUUUAUCCCUAAAUAAUGAUUUAACUAAACAAAAUUCGUACUCAUGCAUGCUCUUAUAACAGUAUUUUUUAAAUUAAUUUUAAGUAAAAUUUGAGCGCAAGUUAAAUAUAUAAGAAAAUUAGUAUUCUAAAAUACCUUUUAUGUUAUACUCAAUUAAUCAUCAAACGGUUUCUUAAUUGGGUAAAAGCAAUUACAAAAAAAUAAUAUUAUGGGUUUGUGUUUGAAAUUCUAUGGCAGUCAUAUAAUUUCUAGAUUUCUCUUGUUAUUGUUUCUUCUUGUAGAUUUUAUCGUGCUCUUCUUAUUAAUUGUUAUACUUUCUUCAUUAUUUCUUGUUCGUUUACUUGAGUUUGAUGUAUUUGAGCCGAACAGUCUCUCUACCUCCACAAGAUAGUGAUAAAGUCUACGUAUACUUUACCUUCUCCAGAGUCCAGACCCCACUUGGUGAAUUUGAGUAGUAUGUUAUUGUUGUUGUAUACUUAUUUAGUUGAGUUUUAGAAGAAGAAAAAAUUCAAAAUUAUUAGACUGAGAUGAUUAAACUCACAGGUUAUAUAAUAUGAACUUCCUCAAUAUUUAUAUAAAGUCACACACAAACGUCGGAAUUCAACGUUCGGAACGUUUAGGUAUUUGAAAAAUACCAAACAUAUAUUUUCACUUCAAAUCUAUUUAUAUAUAAUAGGAGAAGAAAAAGUGUCACAUGUCAGCAGCACAAAUUUUCUCCAUUUUAGUUUUAAAAUUUUAAAAAUAAUUUAAUCUAUAUUAGUUAGUAACUUUCAAUUUAAAUUUUAAAAUUUUUAAAAAUCAAUAUCCAUAUAUAUUUAAAUGAAUUCUUUUUAAAAUUAGAAAGUUACCACAUUUAAUAUAAAUCUUCUCUAUUAUUUUUAUUUCUUUAAGAAAUAUCUAAUUCUACAUGUGGCUAUUGUUUAAAUUUUUUUUGGACUCAUAUUUUUAUUCUAAUCAGAACAUUUAUUUUUAUCCCAUUUAUUUUUUAGUAAUGGGGUAAGUGUCGUGUAGAAAGUUUUCUUUAACUUAUUUUUUUUUCUUUUUAAUUACGGAAUAGUAAGUGGGGUAAUGGGGUAAGUAUCGUGUAGUUUAGUUUAGUUUUCAUUCACUUAUUUUUUUUAUUACUAAAUAAAAUAUAUACGAAACUUUGAAUACUUAGAAUUAAUUUUAUUUUAUUUUAAAAUAGGAAAUUAAAUCAAACAGACUAAUAUAAAUUAAAACACGAGGAAUAUAUUUUUUUCAAACAAAAUUUCUCCAUUUUUAUUUUUAAAAAUUUAAAAUAAUUUAAAUCUAUAUCAGUUUGUAAUUUUAAAUUUAAAUUUUAAAUUUUUUUGGACUCAUAUUUUUAUUCUAAUCAUGUGUGGUACUUUAAUUUUAUCUGUUUCUCUUUGCUCAGAAAAUUUGGGAAUAAUUCUUACACUAAAAGAAAAAAAAGAGAAAAAGAGAAAAAGAUUAUAUCAAAAAAAUUCGAGAAUUUUCUUUAAACAUGUUUUUGUUCAAUCAUUAGUCACUUAUAGGAAACUAGACGAUGGGUGCCCGUGUAAGCAUAUGUUGUUUAUAUAUUACAUUUGUUAUUACACUACUUAUGCGUGGUUAUGCUAUGUUUUACACUUUGUACAGAAAAAGGUAAAAAUAAAUGUUGGUGGCAAGUCAAGUUGAUGCUUGGUAGUUGACAAAAUAUCUACAAGUACAAAGAGAAGUGUUUUAGAUUGUGGAGGUAUAACUUAGUAAGAAUGGAGCUAGUACGGCCUGAUUGUGACGUACCUUGUUGAAACUGUGGAUGUCUUCCCUUUUUUUUUAGUAGAUUUACAUAGAAGGCAGUGCAUAGGCAAAAGCAUAUAAAACUGAGAUUUACCUUGUUGCAGAAACAAACCAGGUGUGAGAUUUUUACUAAGAUUUACUCCCUCUGUCCACUUUUAUUUGUCAUGUUGUGUUUUUCGAUAGUCAAUUUGACUAAUUAAAGUUAAAUUAGAUUACGUUAAUUCGAUAUUUUUUUUUAAAAAAAAUUAGAUAUUCAAAAACUAUACAAAAAGUACUAUAAGUUGCAAUUUUUUGCAUAUCAAUAUGAUGAAAAUAUACAUCGUAAAAUGUUGGUCAAAGUUCUUAUUGUUUGACUCUAAAAAAGGAAACUAUGACAAUUAAUUGUGGACGGAGGGAGUAACAUACAUUAGUAAAAAUCUAAUCUUGGUUCAUAUAAAUGAACUGAUCAUCAGAUUAUAUAAAUAAAAGUUGAACCUUUAGCAGAUAUAAAUCACAUUACUCAUUGGUCGAUAUCGAGCUUUUCAGCAAAAAGAAAUGCAAGAUAAUCACUAAAUCAAGCAAAAACAUCUGCUCACAGAAACUUAACAGGCAAAUAUAACUUCCUCUAGUAGUCUAGCACAUCAGCAACAACAACAACAUAUUUAGUAUAACCCAGCAAGUGGAGUUUGAAUCACCCCUAUCUUACGAAAGCAGAGAGAAUAAACCUAGCAUAGCAAUCUCAAAAAAAUCCAGCACACAAAUUCCAAUUUCACCUACCACCCGAAACCACAACUUGAGCCAUCCCUUGAUUUGAAGAUUGAACAUGCAUUAGCAAAAAUCCAAUCUUGUUGCUGUUAAUUUACUGAUUAGCAGAUUAUGUAAAUAAAAUUGGAACUUUAGCAAACAUAAAUCUAGCAAAUUUUUUAGCAAAUAUAAAUUACAUCAUUUAUUGAUUGCUUUCGAGCUUUUCAGUAAAAAGAAAUCCAAAAUAAUCACUAAAUAAAGCCAUUUACCUAGCACAACAACAACAAACCUAGUAUAGCAAUCCCUGAAAAAACUCAACACAAAAAUUUCAACUUUACCUGUUGGCAUGCACAACUACAAAUGGAUAAUGGGCUAUUGUCUAGAGAGUUAUGAGUAGAGUAUAUGUAUCUUGUUGUACUCAACAAGGAAAUGGAUUUUGCUUUAGCCAUGUUCUACUGCAUUCGCAAGUGUAAAUUCUACAGAGAAGUUAAAGGAAAACUAAAGUGUUGAAGAUAAUGAUGGCUUCAUGAUGAAGUCAUCGAAAAAGCCUUUCCAUAACAUUAGGCUAUGACUUUGUUUAUUACAGACAUCAUUGUAAUGUUCUUUAGCUACCAGAUUGUAAAGCCUCAAUUUGGAUAUUUCAGGAUAGCAACAUGACUCAACUUUUAGUUAAAAGUUGGAAGAGACAAAGUAAAGCUGAACUUUUUUUCAUUUUAAUCACAUGCUCACAGUUUAAAAAUAAACAUUACGGAUAAAUUGACAAAUUGUGCAUUAAUUUGUAUAUUAUGUCAAAAUCUGAAAGACGAUGGAACAUUAUGUACAUAAGAUCAAUUCUAUUUUAAAAUAAAUGUUUAUGUCGAAUGCGACUUCUUCUAAGGCUAAAAAAAGUUGAAAGAUAUAAAGAUUAAUUAUAACAUGUUGUAAAAAACAUAUUGGACAAAAGUUUUAUUUGAAUGUGUUCUUGGGGCACUAUUGAUGUAAAUAUUACGAAUGUGAAGGAUUAGGAUAUCAGGACAAAAAACUUAGAUCAACAUUCUCUUAUGUGUCAAUCACUAAUGCAUUUAAGGCUUUUAGUCAAGAACUUUCUAUAGACUUUUUAUAUCGGUUGGAAUCUUGAUGAACAAUGUCACUCACAAGUAUUGAUAGAGAUGAAAAAUCAUUCUGUAUGGGCAAACAUAAUUUUUUCUUUUAAGGCUAGAAAAUUAUUGAAAAAUGUGCAUGCUGUAAAAAGAUAUAUCGAUUAAGUAUCCUUUGAUCGUAUUCAUUAAGUACAAUUAAAUGUAAAUAUCACGAACGUGAAGCAUAAAAUAUCAAGUCAAAAAACUUGGGUCACCAUUCUCUUAUGUGUCAAGUGCUAGCUCAUCUAAGAUCUUUUACCAUCUAGAAGGUCGAUAUUAAUGAAUAUAAAUAAAUUAAAACGUCUUGUCAGUACACAUAUAAUUAAGUCCUAGAGAGGGAUGCCAACCAACUUGCAUCCAUUAGGGCAUCUCCAACCCAACACUCUAUUUUACUCUUCAAAUAUAGAUUUUUCUAUUUUUUCAUAUAAUCAACUCCAAUUCAAUUCUCUAUUUUACUCUCUAAAAAGAAUUUUUUUCCUCUCUCCUCAAUAUUAUAUUAUUAUUUCUAUUUCAUUAUUAUUUUCUUAUUUCAUAAUAUAAAUCCUUUAUUUAUUUUUCUCAAUAAUUACCUUAUAUAAUUUUCAUGUGAUAUAAAAUUUUAUUUUUUUAAUUUUUUUAUUUAACAUAAAAUUAUAUUUUAUUUUAAAUUUUUAAAUAACAUAAAUUGCAAGAAAAUAUUAUAUAAUAUAAUAAUAUACAAAUUAAUGGACAAAUUCAAAUAAAAGUUAAAUAUAAUUACACAAACACUCCAUUUUCAAAAUUAUUAUGUUGCUCCCAUAAAUUAAUGCAUUACGGAGUUCUAAAUGAGCAUUUUUGUCCUUAAUUUUUUAUGUCUAGCUAAAAAUUAUUCAAAUCGAAGAUAUUCAUCUACCACCAUUUCAGUCGUUGGAAUUGGAGCCUCUACAACAUCUUGAAUUGGUGCAUUAAGAUCACUUUCAUCCUCAAUCAUCAUGUUGUGUAGUAUAAUACAUGUAGUCAUUAUAUCAUGGAUCACUUCUUUUCUCAAAAAACGUGACAGUCCUGCAAUAAUUGCAAAACUCCCAAUGCAUGUUCAGCAUCUUUUCGGCAUGAUUCUUAUUUUAUCGCGAAUUAAUUAUUAUGUUAUGUAUUGUAUUUUAUCUUGCAAUUAAAUUAUUAUGCUAUGUAUUGUAUUGUUAUAUUGUAUUUAAAUUAUCAUAUUAUGUAUUGUAUUUUUAAAUUAAAUUUUUUCAUCUUAUCAUUUUAAUUUUUUGUAUUCUUUAUAGUGAAAAUUAAUAAUAAAAUCAAAUUAUAUUAUUGAAAAAAUUAGAAAAAAAUUAAAAUACUAGUAAUUUGGGAUGAAAGUAGUAUAUAUUAAAUAAUAUAUAUUUUAAAAUAUUAUAUUACAUUUAAAAAGAAUUAUGAAUAUUAGAUAUUUAAUAAAUGACACUAUAUGUAAAAUAAUAUGUUAAUUAGAAAGUAAUAGAAAUAAUAAUAAAAUAUUGAAAAAGUGAAAUAGAGAGUGUGAAUAGUAGUUCUAAAAAUUUGGAGAACUACUAUUCACCUCUCUAAAUAUGAAGAUUAGAGAGUGAUAUAGAGGUGGGUUGGAGUGUUCAUUCUCUAUUUUACUCUUAAAAUAUAGAAAAUAGAGAGUAACAUAGAGGUGGAUUGGAGAUGGUCUGACCCUACUUAUUAGAAUUCAUCCAAUAAAUAUAGUGGAGUGAGUACCAAUGGGAGCAAUAAAAUAGAGGGAUUUAUCUUCAUUAGGUGGCCAGUGAACCUCACAAUUGGCCUGCAAAUAGUGUAUGGCAUUUGGUAUAAGCCAGCGGUUAGCGUGUUAAGUUUUACUAAUCUAUUUCCCACGACAAGUAAUUAUAAUUAUAACACACCAAAGUUAAGUAAAAUUUCUCAAUCCACCUACCAAAAGAGAAGAGUUAUAUCAUUUGUAUACAUCGGUAGCACUCGAAAAAUCAAAAACAAAUUUUCAUCAUGUCGUUUCAAUAAGUUGUAAAACCAUUAGUUUGAGGUUGAUGUCUAUAAUUAAAAAAUAUUGCAUAUUUUAAAAGACUAACUUAUCUACGUAAUACAUAUCUGAAAACAAGACCAGAAGGAAAAAUUUAAACUACGGAAACAACAAUGUUCAAAUGAAACGUGUCAUAGUUCGAGUGUGUUGAUGUGAAUGGAGUUGGAAGCUAGUCAAUUCCCCACUCUUUGCGCCAUCUCUGACCAUCAUUUUUUCUUCAAGAAAAUGUAAGCCACAACCCACUAGGAUUAUUCUUCCCAUUGUUUUAUCGUCUUCAACGUUGGAAAUACGUUUGUCCAACAACCCACUUGUUGCUUAAUCAAACGCCAGAAAUUUUCUCCAUACCACAGUUACCCCUAACAUAAAAACAAUGCAUCCACUGACAGUAACACUUUCCCAAUGUCAUUUCAAGUUUAAACACAAAAACAGAUUUAGUUCCAGUUCUACUAGUAAACAAAAGAUAGAGCAGAAAAAUUAUAACUUGAUCUGAUAGCAGGGAUGACAACUUCUCAUUGAACCAUAAACUUCUUUUAUACAUCGUUAACAUAGUAGAGGAGUACAGACACAGGGGCGGCUGGCAAGGCUUGUAAAAAAGUCUUGGGCCUUAGGAUUUUUUAGUUAAUUAGGUAGGAUUAAAUUAAAAAUAAAAUAAAAUUAGAACUAAGACAAUAAAUGCAAAAGCCCCAUUUUUUAGUUAAUUAGAAAAGAUUAAAUUUAAAAGAAAUAAAAUUGUUAGAGCUAGUCAAUAGUGUAAACGGCUAAAUGAAGUGAUAGUCAUAGAUAUGACUAUCACUUUUUAACUUUCCAAUAAAAAAGUUGUGUACUUUUUUUUAAUGUACAAGUUAUUUAUUUUUUUUACCUUAUUUUUUUUUAAAUUAUAUUUUUAUAUAUUCUAUCCUCCUCCCUUUUAUUUCUUCUCACUUUCUCUUUUCUAAUCUUACAUCUCUCUCUUAUUCAAAGCUAAAAAAUUNNNNNNNNNNNNNNNNNNNNNNNNNNNNNNNNNNNNNNNNNNNNNNNNNNNNNNNNNNNNNNNNNNNNNNNNNNNNNNNNNNNNNNNNNNNNNNNNNNNNNNNNNNNNNNNNNNNNNNNNNNNNNNNNNNNNNNNNNNNNNNNNNNNNNNNNNNNNNNNNNNNNNNNNNNNNNNNNNNNNNNNNNNNNNNNNNNNNNNNNNNNNNNNNNNNNNNNNNNNNNNNNNNNNNNNNNNNNNNNNNNNNNNNNNNNNNNNNNNNNNNNNNNNNNNNNNNNNNNNNNNNNNNNNNNNNNNNNNNNNNNNNNNNNNNNNNNNNNNNNNNNNNNNNNNNNNNNNNNNNNNNNNNNNNNNNNNNNNNNNNNNNNNNNNNNNNNNNNNNNNNNNNNNNNNNNNNNNNNNNNNNNNNNNNNNNNNNNNNNNNNNNNNNNNNNNNNNNNNNNNNNNNNNNNNNNNNNNNNNNNNNNNNNNNNNNNNNNNNNNNNNAGUCGGAUGUAGAUUCCCAAGAAAAUCAAGAACUUAUAAAUGAAUUAAAUAAUCAUAUUCCUAAAAAUAUCUAUGAUCCUAGUCAAUGGAAUAUUGUUGAUACAAAGUUAAGAGACUUAUUAGUAGAAAAGGGACCAAUUAGAAUUACCGACACAUGUUUUCCAAAGGAUAAAUUUUUAAGGCACUUUUAUAAUUACAUAUUAUUUUCAAAAGUUGGCAAAUGGGGAAAGACAUGAAAGAAGAUGGUUAGUUUAUUCCAAAGAUUUGAAUAAGGUAUUUUGUUUUUGUUGUAAGUUAUUUAAUACGACAUUUAAUGCAACGAAUAAUAAGUUAGCUAAUGAAGGUAGUAGAGAUUAGAAAAAUCUUACUACUAAGCUUAGAACCCAUGAAACAACUAGCCAACAUAUUAUUAAUAUGAGUUCAUGGAUUGAUUUAGAAUUUAGAUUGCGUAAUAAUAAAACAAUCGAUAAAAACAUUCAAGACCAAAUUAAUAGAGAUAGAGAACAUUGGAAAAAUGUAGUGUCAAGAAUUAUUCCUGUCAUAAAAACUCUUGGAAAAAAUAAUUUGGCGUUUAGGGGGGAAAAUGAAAAAAUCUAUCAAGAAAAUAACGAAAACUUCUUGAGUCUUAUUGAAAUGAUUGCAGAAUUUGAUCCAAUUAUGCAAGAACAUAUUCGACGAAUCAAACAUGAUGAAAUUCAUAAUCAUUAUCUUGGACAUAAUAUACAAAAUGAAUUAAUAAAUUUAUUGGCAAGUGAAAUUAAGAACAAGAUUAUUGAAAAAGUUAUAAAAACAAAGUAUUUCUCUAUCAUACUUGAUUGCACGCCAGAUACAAGUCAUCAAGACCAAAUGUCUUUUAUAAAUUGGAGUGUAGAUAUUUCGGCAACUCCAAUAAAUGUAACCAAAUAUUUCUUAGAAUUCUUAAAAGUGGAUGAUACAAGUGGAAAAGGUCUUUUUGAAGUUAUUUUAGAUGAAAUAAAAUGUAUUGGACUUGAUAUUGAUAAUUUAAGAGGACAAGGAUAUGAUAAUGGGUCUAAUAUGAAGGGAAAACACCAAGGAGUGCAAAAAAGACUUCUUGAUAUAAAUCCUAGAUCAUUUUAUACACCAUGUGGUUGUCAUAAUCUAAAUUUGGUACUUUGUGAUAUGGUUAAUUCUUGUACGAAAGCUAUAUCAUUCUUUGGAGUGGUACAACGUAUAUAUUCACUAUUUUCUUCGUCUACUAAGUGGUGGAAAAUUUUAAAAGAUAGUGUACCUAGUUUAACUCUUAAAUCAUUGUCACAAACACGGUGAAAAAGUCGUAUUGAAAGUAGCAAUAAGGUUUCAAACUCCACAAAUAAGAGAUGCUUUAUUUAAAUUAGAAGAAGUUAGUGAUGAUCCAAAAAUUAAAAGUGAAGCUAAUUGUUUAGCAAUUUUUGAGCUUGAAAAUUUUGAAUUUUUAUUGGGUAUGACUAUUUGGUAUGAUGUACUAUUUGCUGUAAAUUCAAUUAGCAAAAGUUUACAAUCAAAAGAUAUGCAUAUUGAUGUCGCUAUAGAUCAAUUAAGAGGUUUAGUUUCUUUUUUUAAAACAUAUAGAGAAGAAGGAUUUACAAGUGCUAUGAUUUCGGCUAAGGAAAUUGCAUUAGAGAUGAAUAUUGAACCUGUAUUUCGUAAAAAACGUGUAAUUUAUAGAAAAAAACAAUUUGAUGAGAAUGUUGAUAAUGAAAUCACAAGAUCUCUUGAAGAAUCAUUUAGAGUUGAUUACUUCUUAUACAUAGUAGACCAAGCCAUCAUUUCACUUUGAAAUAGAUUUGAACAAUUUGAAGUAUCUGAAAAUAUUUUUGGUUUUCUAUUUAGUGGGAAAAAAUUGAGAUCAUUAGAUGAUGAGAAUUUAAAAAAAUAUUGUCUUAAUCUUGAAUGUUCCUUAAAACAUAAUACUCACUCCGAUAUUGACGGUUUAGACUUAUUUUCUGAAUUAAAAGUGUUGAGAGAAAUCAUAAAAGUAGAAGACAAUACUCUAAUUGAGAUACUCAAUCAAAUAAAAAGACUUGAUUCUUUUCCAAAUGCUUACAUUGCUUAUAGAAUAAUGUUAACAAUUCCCGUAACAGUCGCCUCAGCCGAAAGAAGUUUUUCAAAAUUAAAAAUAAUAAAAUCUUAUUUAAGAUCGACAAUGUCUCAAGAAAUAUUAAGUGGUUUGGCUAUAUUAUCGAUUGAAAAAGAAUUAUUAGAAGAGAUUGACUACACAAAAAUUAUUAACAACUUUGCAUCUCAAAAAGCUAGAAAAAUAGAUUUAAAAUAAAAAUAUUUAUAAUUUUUUUUAAGGCCUCUAAUUUGAUUUUGGCCUUAGGCCACCAAUGGGUUUGAGCCGCCCAAUAAAUAACAGACAUAUACUAUUAAUCAUUAUAAAACACCUAUAUGGCCACAAUACACAACCUUUACUACAAUAAAUUACACAACCUUUAUCACAACAAAUAUUAUAUGUUGCACAUCUUAGACCAGAAAGCACAAAACUCCGCAUUGACACGCGCGCACCCAUGUGUAUACACAAAAGAUACUCGCUUUCUUAACCAUCACUUCACCAUUUGUUUAUGUACAUUGUUGUUUGGUUGGGCUGGUUUAACGACUGCACUACCAACUCUAAGGUUACAAAGCAAAGCAUCACGUCCAGUUAGAAGGAUUUGAAAGAACUUAUCUGUCUCCUUUGCUAGGAGAUCUAGUCCUACUGAAAAAAAAUUUGGUUUUUUUUAGUCAGAUCUGAAGUUAGAAGUUCCAACUGUGCCGCGUCGAUAGGGUCUAUUCCAUCCUGUAUGACUAGGUAUAUCUUCUUCACACUAACAUCCAAUGCUUCAAGCUCCUUAAUUCAGUGCUGUGGAUUUCCCUCCAGAAUAUAUGCCCCUGAUCUCACCACUAAUAAAAUCACGAAGAUCAACAAAAGCUUCUGUCCACAAGCAAGUCUCGCGAACCUGCAGAUCCUUCAAUUUUGCUGCAGAACCCGAGAAUGCAACAGCAAAGAUGCUACAUAUGAAAGCAGUUGCAACCCUCACUCCAUACAUUAAUGUAUGGUUCUUUGCAUUGAUCUUGAUUCAAUGAGGCUGUCCUACAGGGGCGGCUCAACGUACUUGGAGGCCUAAAGCAAAAUUUCAAUUAAAGGUAAAAUCUUUUAGUUGAGGCAAUUAUUAUAUAAAUUGUUAACAUUAUUCUAUAAGUAAUAAGUUGACAAACUGCUUAUAAACCUUUUUUUUAUUGGUUUAAAAACACAUUAAAUAAGUUAAUCUAAACAGGCUUGUAAUUCACUUUAUCCAAAACAUGAUUUUUACUAUUGAUUCAUAUUUUUGGUAGAGCUCUAACUUACAUAUAGUAUAAAAAGGGUCUAGAAAAUUACAACGCGAGAGUUAGUGAAGAGAAUGUAAGAAGACAAAACAACUAUUUUUCUUGAUUUCUUCUAUUUGAUUGAGGUUAAGGAGAAUAAAAUAAUAUGUAUUUUUUAAAAAAAAAUACAUUUGCUUUAGAUAAUUAAUUUUUUCUAUAAAAACAAUUAACACAUAAUUUAUCGUGGUAAAAAUUAGAGGCCCCCUAAAAUUGGGGGCUAAGGCAUAUGCCUAAUUUUUAUAAGCAUUGAGCCGGCACUGCUGUCCAAGAUGGCAAAGCAAUUCUCCAGUCUAUGGUUCUUUGCAUUAAUGUGUUGCUUCCAUCCAUCCAAUGAAGAACGUGUUGGUUUUAAAAGAUGUGAAUGGAAAAUGAAGAGUUGCGACUUUUAUGAAGAGUUGUGACUUUUAUGAAAAGUUGCGACUUUUAUGAAGAGUUGCGACUUUUAUGAAAAAUUGUGACUUUUAUUAAAGUUUAUGACCUUUCCGAAAGAUUGUGACUUUUCCAAAAGUUUGUGACCUUUCCGGUAAGGCACAAUAAGAAUAUUUUCACACUACCCUUUGUUUUCUAUAAAUUGAGGGAUUUCCUCUCAUUUUAGGAGAACUAAUUUUUCUGGACUUCUUCUACUACUAUUAUUAAAUCUAGUAUUCUAAGUGUAUUUUACUACUGUUGAGUGGUUCGCUGACACCGUGGUUUUAGAUACCGAUACAUCGGUGAGUAAGAUCGUUCUAUCUUGGGAGGAUAUAUUCCAUUAACCUCUGGUACUUGAGGGGAAUAAUUUCCUUAAGGGGACAUUGUGCAUUCAGUGGGCUCGAUUUUCUUUCUUUGAGAAAAAUAUUUUUAUAUUGUUUCUAAUCUGUUUCUGAUUAUAUUUUCUCUACUAGUUUUAAUUUUCUAUUUUGAAAAUACUUUGUUGUUUCUUACCAAGUUCUUCAAAAUUUUGUUCUAAGUAUUUUAGGAAUACAAGAUGGACAACAAUCUUAAGGAAAUUAUUAUACUAUUGGUAUUUAAUUUCUUGUAUUCUACUGAUUGAGGGAAACAGAUCAUGGAAAUAGAAGAUUAAUGCAUUACUUCUCCAGAAUUCGGUGUUUUGUUUAGCAAGGUCGAAGUGAGAAUGUACUAGAAGAAUUGGUGGUAUUUCGUUUAAAAAUUACACCAGGUAACCUUCUUAUUAUUUAUCUAAGGAGGAAAAUAGUUUCUACAAGUUAAUAGUUUUGAUAUUUAUCAUGUAUGUCUUUGGAAAAAGAUAUGCAAACCAUAUGAUUUUUGAAAGAAUUUUCCUUGGCAAAAAGUGUUGCCUUUAAAAUUCUUUAGUUUGUAGAAUGAGAGAUGCACAUUUUUGUUUGAUAAAAUAGUAUGUCAAAAUGUUAUAGUUGGAAGGCUAUUUGAAAAGAAAAACAUAUCUAUGUGAUAAUCUAAGAAUAUGUUUAAUUCUGUUUGGAGACUAAAAUAAUUUUUUUUUGUAGUUUUGUACUCCAUGUGAAAUUUGAUUGUGUCUGAUUUUUGUAGACUAAAUUUUUUUGUAGUUUCUACUCUGGAUAAAUUAGACUAUGCAACUGUUUUGAAGAAUAUGAAAACUUCACAUAAUAAGUCAAUGUUGUACUUUUAAUUUUCUAUAAACUUCAUUGUUAUAUAGAAACAAAUUGUACAAUUUUUUUUGUUUUUAUUGUUAGUAUUCUAAAUACUAAGUGGUAUGUCUAUUUGUGAUAGAGAAAAAAUACCAAUGACUUAGAGUUUGUAAUUUUGUGCCUCUGGAAUGAACUUUGACAUUGUGUAAUGAUUGUCAAAUGGAAUUGAAGCACUAUAAUUCUUUUGUAGAAUAAUAUUUUCAAAAGAGGUUUCAUGUUGCCAAUGACACUUUGAUAGCAUGAGAAAAAAAAAUAUGUGAAAAAACCAUUUUCAAAUACUUGAAAAAUAUUUUUGAGAUUAUAUUUAAAAUGUGGUGGUUCUUUGCUUAUGAUAAAGAUAAAAUUAGGUUUGGUGUCUAAUUUAAUUUAGGAGCAAAAUAUAUUAAAUUCAAUGAUACUUUUGUAUUAUGUUAGACCCAUAAAAAUCUUGGAGUAUAUUUGAUAUUGUGGUUGUUGAGUUUCUCUUUUACUAGUAUAUGGUGUGACUAGUAUGAAACUACCAAAUUAUAUAUACACUUGUUCAAAAUAAUUAUGUUCUUUAAUGAAAAAGUGUCACUUAAAAUGUUGUGAUUUUUCAUGGAAAGAUAUGUCUAUCAAAUAUAACUAUUUGUAUAGACACGAAUAUUGGUGAAUAGUCAUUUGUCAUGUUUUGUAAAAGAAGCAUUUGGACUAUAUUGCCUUUAUUGGACCCGAUGAAACUUUUGUUCAUGGGUAGUUCUAUAACAAUCAAGUUGAAAGUUAUGGAAAGGUCCUUCCAAAACGGAUAUUUGACAAGGUGAUGACUCUAAACAAUGUUUGUAUCACACAAAAUUAUAAGAAAUAGGAACAAAAUAUUUGUGAGAAAAAGCUACCUCGCGGAGACCUUUUCAAACUCAACAUUUUUAUUUGUUCUUACUUGCUUGAGUCAAACUGUUUGUGACAUGAACACUUGGGGAAUGUCGAUUACAAAACCUUGUAAGGAAAACUGAUCAACUUAGAAGUUUUGUCUAACUUUGAAUGCAAUAAAUAAAAAUGUCAAGUUUGUGUGGAAUCUUAGUAUGGUGAGCAUUCUUAUAAAUCUGUUGAAAGGAAUUCUAAUCCCUUAGAGUUGAUUUACACUGACAUUUAUGAUAUGAAGUCAACACCAUCUUGUGGUGGGAAAAUAUAUCUCGUAACUUUCAUUGACAAUUGCAUUAGAAACGACUAUGUCUAUUUACUGAAUGGUAAGGAUGAAGCAAUAUAAAUGUCUAAGAUAAUAUAAUAUUGAAGUUGAAAAUCAGUUGGGAAAAAGAUAAGAAGUGAUAGGGAUGGAGAAUAUAAAUCUCCUUUUGCAGAAAUAUGUUUGGAAAAUGGAUUUAUCCAUCAAACUAUUGUCCUAUUCACCUAAAUCUAAUGGAAUUGCAGAAUGAAAUAAAAAAUACCCAAACUUUGAAGAAAAUGAUGGUUGCAUUACUUAUAAGUUCAGGUUUACCACAAAACUUGUGUGGAAGAGCUAUCCUUACUGCAAAAGGGAACAACAAAAAGUUGUCUUUUCAGAAAGAAAGCAAUUUUGUUUGUUCAGGACACAAUCUAUUCCAUAUGAGAAAUGGAAAUGAAGGAAAAUUCAACUUGAAAUAUUUUAAAGUGUGAGGGUGUCUAGCCAAAGUCCAAGUUCCUAUUCCUAAAAGGAUUAAAAUAGGACCUAUGAUUGUGGACUGUAAAAUUAGACUUAAGUAGUCUAGUGAAGGAUUUAAAAGACCUUGAAAAGAAAAAAAAGAGAAUGUACUUAAUAAAGAGAUUCAGAUGCGUAGUAAAUGUCAAAGGACAUCUACUUCCUUCGAAUAUGAUUUUGUAACAUUUCUUGUGUCUUCUGUAGACUCAUCAUGUUGGAAAGAUGGUGUCAAUAGUGAGAUUGAUGCAAUCUUGAGCAACCAUAUUGGAAGUUAAUUGAUCUUCUUCCAGAAAAUUAACCUUUGGGUUCAAAGUGAAUCUUCAGAAGGAAAAUGAAAGUAGAUGGAACUGUUGAUAAAUAUAAAAGCAAGACUUUUUGUCAAAGGCUUUAGACAAAACAAGGUCUUGAUCUUUUCGACACAUACUCACCAAUAACUAGAAUUACAUUUAUUUGGAUGUUAAUUGUGUUAGCUGUGGUAUAUGACCUCCAAAUUCAUCAAAUAAAUGUGAAAAUAACUUUCUUAAAUGGAUAAUUGGAGGAAAAUAUGUACAUGGAACAACCCGAGGGUUUUGUGGUUCCUGGUAAAGAAAAAAAAGUGUGCGAACUUGUUAGGUCACUUUAUGGACUAAAACAAGCACCAAAACAAUGACAUAAGAAAUUUGACCAAACCAUGUUGGCAAAUAGAUUUAAGAAUGAUGGAAGUGAUAAAUGUGUUUACAUUAAAAUCACAAGGUCAUUGUUUGUUUGUAUAUUGAUGACAUGUUGAUCAUCAGUAGAGACACUAAUGACAUAAAUGCUACUAAAUGUUUGCUAGAAAGCAAGUUUUGAUAUGAAAGAUCUUGGAGUUGCUGAUGCGAUCUUAGGUAUAAGAAUCCUUAGAACUCCAUAAUGUUUAGCAUUGUCACGAUCUCAUUGCAUUGAAAAAGUAUUUGACUAGUUCAAAUAUUUAGAUUUUAAUAUUGUCAAAACUCCAAUAAGAGCCCGUUUGGAUGGGCUUUUAAGUUGGUCAAACUGACUUAAAAGUCAGUUUUUGACUUAUUAGACUGUUUGACAAUUAUCAAAGUGACUUAAAAUAAGUCACUUUUGGCUUAUUUUAAGUCAAAAGUUAAAAGUAGGGUGAGGGCUACUUUUUUUUUUUAACUUAAAAGUCAUUUUAUGUUGACCAAGUAUAUUACCUUUUUGCCCUCAAUUCUUUUACACAAUUCCCAAAUUGCCCUUAAAACCCUAGCAUUUCUUUACCUCAAUUUUCUUUUUCACGUUUGUGCGGCUGGAAGCGUGAAGCGGUUCUUCCUUUUCUCUCGAUUGAUAGCAAUGGUAUUAGAUGUAGGAAAAUAAUGAAUAGUUUUAAGUUUUUUCUUGAUUAUCUUUUGAUUUUUGUUUUUUUUAUUAUGUAUUUUUUAUUGUGUCUUCUGUCGCUGAUCUUGUUUUAUGUAUUUUCUGUGAUCUAUUUAAAUUAUAUAUUUUUAAAAUCUACAAUAAGUUGCACAUAUAAAAUUAACUUAAAUAAUAAAUUUAUAUUCCUCUUAUAAAUAAUUUGUGAUGAUAAAGAAAUAUGUGAAUGAUAGGAAAAUAUUAUUACUUAUGGAUGUAAAAUAUAAAUUAAUUUUGUUUUACUUUGUUUAAGAAUAAAAACCUUAAAUUAAUCAACCUUUUAUCAUGUUAACCACUUUAAGGGUAUUUCAGACAUUUUGAUAAAAAAAANNNNNNNNNNNNNNNNNNNNNNNNNNNNNNNNNNNNNNNNNNNNNNNNNNNNNNNNNNNNNNNNNNNNNNNNNNNNNNNNNNNNNNNNNNNNNNNNNNNNNNNNNNNNNNNNNNNNNNNNNNNNNNNNNNNNNNNNNNNNNNNNNNNNNNNNNNNNNNNNNNNNNNNNNNNNNNNNNNNNNNNNNNNNNNNNNNNNNNNNNNNNNNNNNNNNNNNNNNNNNNNNNNNNNNNNNNNNNNNNNNNNNNNNNNNNNNNNNNNNNNNNNNNNNNUUAUUAUUAUUAUUAUUAUUAUUCCUCUUAUAAAUAAUUUGUGGUGGUAAAGAAAUAUGUGAAUGAUAGGAAAAUAUUAUUACUUAUGGAUGUAAAAUAUAAAUUAAUUUUGUUUUACUUUGUUUAAGAAUAAAAACCUUAAAUUAAUCAACCUUUUAUCAUGUUAACCACUUUAAGGGUAUUUCAGACAUUUUGAUAAAAAAAAGUGUUUACCAGCACUUAUUUGCCAAACACAUCAACAACUUUUUUUCAAUUGCAAUACUUUUAUCCAAACACAUAACUACAUAUUUUAAAAAUAAGUUUCAGCACUUUGAAAACUUACUCUUUUUAAGUCAAUCCAAACUGGCUCUAUAUGUGAGCUCUGCAUUUCAAAAGAGUGAAGGCAAAAGUGACUCACAAUUGGAUUGUGCUAGAGUAUUGGGAAAUAUGAUGUAUAUCACGAAGUGUGCGCGAUCAUAUAUAGCAUGUGUUGUUUAUGAACUGAGUCAGUUCACGAGUGAUCCCAAUCGAACUUAUUGGAUGACAAUGAAAAGAGUUUUGGGGUAUUUAAAACAUACUCAAAACUAUGUCCUGCAUUAUAAUAAUAUCCAGCAGUAUUGAAAGGAUAUAGUGAUGCAAAUUGGAUCACUGGGAUCAAAUGAAGUAAAAUCCACGAGUGAAUAUGUAUUUACUCUUGGUGGAUGAGCAGUCUCUUGAAAAUCUUCCAAAAAGACAUGUAUCGCUAGCUCUACAAUGAUCUCUGAGCUAGGUGCUCUAGAUAAGGCCGGUGAAUAAGUUGAAAGACUCCGGAAUUUCUUGAUAGAUAUUCUUUUUUUUUUUGCCCAAACCAUUGGCAUCAGUAUGCAUACACUUUAAUAGUCAAGAUGCAAUAGGUAGGGCAUGAAGCAUGAUGUAUAACGAAAAGUCUUGUCAUAUAAGACAUAGACAUAAUACCGUUAGAAAACAACUACUCUCUACUGAAAUUAUCACAAUUGACUAAGUAAAGUCAAAGGAUAAUGUGUCAGAUCCACUUACAAAAAGGCCUAACUAGAGAGAAAUUUGAAAGAUCAUCUAAGAGAAUGGGUUUACGGCUUAGGACAAGUUAUUAUGGCGGCAACUCUAUCUAGCAGACUAGAGAUCCCAAGAGUUAGAUUCAAGGAGAAAAACAAAGUUGUGACUGACGGUUCGACAUUGUCAAUCAAUUCAAUCCAUUCUCAUGAUGAAGACAAUGUUCAGGAACGAGGUUAUAACAUUAAGGCUUGUUAAUGAGUUAAUAAAGCUUAAUGUUUUUAAUGAUUUGCUAAGUUUGGCAAACUUGACCAAAUAGUGUAUCCACGCGAUGACACAGUUAGAAAUCACCUAUGUGAGUGUGAAGUGUAAGCCGCUUCAAAGAGAAUUAUUGUCAAAAGCCUAUUCUCUAUACACUCAUGAAACCAGGAGGUGUUCAUGGCUGAAACGAAUACAACUGUAAGAUAAACGGUAAAGGGUUAAUUGUGUGACAUAUGGUUGUCUAGGUAUACAUCUAAGCUCGACGGUUCAAAGAUAUCGCAUUUACCGAUUGACCGAGUAUUCCGACAUAUGUUCACUACGGAAAGUCCAAAGGGAAACCUACUUAUCCAGAUGCAAUUAAAUUUUGCUUGUAAAGUACACAUACUUGUCCGUUUCUUUGUCUUGGAGUCAUUCCCCAUUCAUGCAGGGGAUUGUUGGGUUUUAAAAGGUGUGAAUGGAAAAUGAAGAGUUGGGACUUUUAUGAAUAGUUGUGACUUUUAUGAAGAGUUGCGACUUUUAUGAAGAGUUGUGACUUUUAUGAAUAGUUGUGACUUUUAUGAAAGGUUGUGACCUUUUCGAUAGAUUGUGACUUUUCCAAAGGUUUGUGACCUUUCCGAUAAGGCACAAUAAGAACUUUUUCACACUACCCUUUGUUUUCUAAAAAUUGAGGGAUUUCCACUCAUUUUAGGAGAACUAAUUUUUUUGGACUUCUUCUACUAUUACUAUUAAGUUUAGUAUUUUAAGUGUAUUUUACUGCUGUUGAGUGGUUCACUGACACCAUGGUUUUAGGUACCAAUACACCGGUGAGUAAGAUCGUUCUAUUCUAGGAGGAUAUAUUUCAUUAACCUCGGGUACUUGAGGGGAAUAAUUUCCUUAAGGGGACACUGUGCAUUCAGUUGGCUCAAUUUUCUUUCUUUGAGAAAAAUUAUUUUUAUAUUGUUUCUAAUUUGUUUCUGAUUCUAUUUUCUCUACUAGUUUUAAUUUUCUAGUUUGAAAAUACUCUUUAAACUUUGUUGUUUCUUACCAAGUUUUUCAAAGUUUUGUUUUAAGUAUUUUAGGAGUACAAGAUGGACAACAGAACGAGCCUUCAUGAAUUGUGUUGAGGAGCAAUCCAGCUUGUGCAAGCUGCAUUGAAAAUAAAGGUGGCCUUGGCUAAGCCUGGAAAUCUCAGAGCUGUAGGCUACGCACAUAUCCAGCAUCCUCAAACUAUUGUCCAAGUAGACACCAAUCCACUUCUCAUCCCAGUCAGAUACAGGAAGUUCGAGAUCAGUAAUAAGAGUUUUCACAUCUGUAUGGACUGCACAAAGUGUGCUUAUUGCUUGUUUCAUCCAUGAAAGGCUAAGGAUAUCUUCCUUGCCUCCAGGCUUAAGACUCUUAAGUCUCCCUGCUAAUGUCUGCUCAAAUGAAUUCAACAGAGCAUGAAGUUUAGGAGAUAAGUAUGUGCCCUUGGGUGAUAAUAUCAUUUUGAAUGGAUUUCCAAAUUGGGGUCUAGUAGCAACGAAAUUACACUAGGUAUGUUGUUGUAGUCACUUCUCUAUUAUUAACUUUAUAUCUUCGAAGGUUGCAGGAGUGUGGGAUUAAAGAGAGAAUUUUAUGGCCUGACUUGCACAACAUGUUUUGGACCAAGUAUUUGACGCUAAGGGCAUUAGUGAUUUGAAGUAUUAACGGAGGGGAAAUAUGCUUAAUUUCGCAUAGUAUGAGGUAUAUUUGGACCAUUCCCGAACAAUAUAUUGUAUCCCGAGGACAAGUUUGUGUUAGUACUACGCAGAAGAUGAGUGAACUAAUCUUGCUUAGGGCGGGUGAAGAAGGGUAUCCAGUUGAAAUCUAUGCACUUUUUUUCUUUCUAUUUUUCGUUUAGAUGUGUUUGACAUACUUAUAUCUUAUUUAUCAAAGUGAUUUUAAUGGGUGAAUGACCAUAUUCCUAGGUAAUUUUGCAUAUGCACUUCCCAGGUUUACUCAACUUACAAUGACUUCAUAUUGUAAUGUUUCAAGUGCAUGAGGCGUAUUCACAAUUUUAAAAGGAUGAGUGUAUUAUUAUUAAAAGAUGCAUCUAAGAUAUAAAUUUGUCCGUUUUGAUCUUUAAGUUCUUAACAUUGAAUCGUUAAAUUUUAAAAAUAUAGGUUCAAAAUAUAUAAUACUACUAGUUUUAAAUUUGAGAUAAGAGUCAAAACACAUCUAAACUGAUAAGAUGAGAGAUUCGGGAAGACGAAAGUACCUUUGUUUGUAUUGUGUGUAGAUCUGUAAAACUGUUUGAUUUAUUGGCCAACUCUUUUUGGCGGUUAGUUUUUGGUGGGAAUUCUGAAAUUUUUGACUUUCCUUUCAAUUUCGAAUUUUCGUUAAAUUACUAGUGUACCCUCAAUUGAUUGGGUCACCUUAACCUGACAAAUGGUUAGUAAACCUAUGGCCCAAAUCCAACCACGUACAUGUCCUUUUCUUUAGAUAGCUUUCAUUUAGAAUUCGUUUUUUAUUUUUAAAAACUUAUGCAAAUGUAAACUCGAGAUAAAUUAUACUUUUGAAUUAUUUUACAUUUUGGUCUAAUGAUUGUUUUGCUCGUACUGUUUUCAAUCUUAAUACUCUAUUUGAUUGUCAACAAACGCUCGUCAUAAUUUAUAUAAUAAGAAUGUAGUUUAAUAAUUUCUUAUUAGAUUUUUUUGUUUGUUUUGAAGAAAGAUUAUGAUUUAAAGUGUCCUUAAAUUAUUAUAGUACGAAAGAAAACAUUUAUUAAACAUAUGUCCUAAAAUGGGAUAGUAGACGAAAACCAAACAGACAAAGUAGAAACUAUUGUCCAUUUUUUAUUUUUCCCCGUAUCGUUCCAAUGCUUAGACCAUCUCCAACCCACCUCUAUUUUAGUCUUCAUUCUUUAUAUUUAGAGAGUAAAAAUAGAGAAUGGGUACUCCAACUCCUCUUUAAUUUAAUCUCUAUUCUUCACUUUUAAAGAGGUGAAUAUUAGUUCUACAAAUUUGGAGAACCACUUUUACAUUAUUUUAUUAUUAUUUCUAUUAUUGUGUAAUUAACAUAUUAUUUUACUUAAAUAUCUAAUAUUCGUAAUUUUUUAAAAUGUAAUAUAAUAUUUUUUAAAAUAUAUUAUUUUAACAUGUACUAUAUUCAUUCCAAAUUGAUAAUAUUUCAAUUUUUUAAAAUUUUUGUCACUAAUAUAAUUUGAUUUUAUUAUUAAUUUUCACUAUAAAGAACGUACAAUUAAAAUGAUAAGAUGAAAAUUUUAAUUUUAAAAAUACAAUACAUAACAUAAUAAUUUAACUACAAGAUAACAGUCUAAUACAUAAGAUGAUAAUUUAAUUACAAGAUAAAAAUACAAUACAUAAGAUAAUAAUUUAAAUACAAAAAUAACAAUACCAUAAUAACAUAAUAACUUAUUUAUCACAACAAUAAUUUAGUAAUCCAAUAGGUCAUUUCCAUAUUUAGUAAUAUUUUGGGGAAAAAUAAUGUAUGGUCCAGAAAAUUGUUAUAAUUGCAGUUGUGCAUAUUGAUUUAUUUUUUCAAUUAUUCAUAGUUGUUCUUGUUGCAUGUAAUUACGAACAUUUGGAUCACUAAUAGCUUCUAAAUUUAUCCAUAAAAUUUUAUUUUCUUAUAUAACUUCCUUGAGUUUGAUAUAUCUAUCUAGCCUAACGCUAUCUUGUUGUUUGGAUGUAGCAGACUCUAAUUGUACCAAUAGAAAUUGUGGUAGAUGAAAAUCUCUGAUUUGAACUAUUUUUAGUUAGACGUAAAAAAUUUAGGAUAAAAAUAUUACUUUUGAACUCCGUAAUGCAUUAUUAGAGUAAUUUUGGGGGUAACAUAAUAAUCUUGAAAGUUGAGUAUUUAUGUAACGUUUAUGUAAUUGUAUUUCAUUAAUGAUUUCACUUUUAUUCGAAUUGUGCAUUAAUUUGUAUAUUAUAUAAUAUUUGAUUGCAGUUUAUGUUAUUUAGAAAUUUAGAAUAAAAUAUAAUUUUAUAUUAAAAAAUAAUUUGAAAAAAUAAAAUAUUAUAUCACAUGAAAUUUACUCCAUAAAGUGAUUAUUUGAAAAAAAAGAAGCAAUAAUUUAUGUUAUGAAAUAAGAAAAUAAGAAUGAAAUAGAAAUAAAAAUAUAAUAUUGAGGAGACAGAAAUAUAUUCUAUUUUAGAGAAUUGAGUUGGGGUUGAUUUUCUAAAAAAAUAAAAAAUUGAGUUAAAGUUGAUUUAAAAAAUAAAUAAAUCUAUAUUUGGAGACUAAUAGAGAAUAUGGUUGAAGAUGUUUAAAAGAAGGUGAAAGUGAAAGUAGUAGACGAUUCAAUUUACAGCCCACGAAACAUGGAGCCCACCCAAUUCAUACUUCAUAGCCCUAACGGCGGUAGAACAGAAAAUUUUCAAUUUACAAUAAAGCUGGACUCCACUUGGUACAGUUCAAGUUUAAUCUAGGAACCUUAGGCUUUCGUUUUUUUUUCCAACAAAGGGAGGAAACAGACGAAGAUCAAGCUAGGUAAGGCUUUGAAUAUCUUAUAUGUAUUAGCACAUAUUAUGCGUAUAAACUCAUGCACUAUCUAGGUUUUGAUUGUAAAGAAGAGAGAAUUUACAAAUUUAAGUGUGUCUAGGUUUUGAAUGUAAAAAAAGAGAGAACUUACAGAUUUAAGUGUUCUUUUUUUUUUGUGUGUGUGCAGUUCUUCGGGAUCAGUUUUUUGUUUUAUUGGUAAUCCGUGUGUUUUAACUUUUGCAGGCUAUUUUAAAUUCAGAAUUUCCCCCAUCUAAAGAUGGUAGGUUUAACGAAAAUCGCUUUGUGAGCUGUAGGGUUAGGGUUAGGGUUUUGAGUUCUUAUGAAGCUCUAAUUUUUAUUUUUCUUCUGUCUCAGUUUCCCCUCUUUUUGCUCAAGACUGCACAGGGGAUCCCAUGGUAAGCUUUUGAAUUCAUGUGGAAAAAGGGUAGUGUCUCCUCUUUUUUCUCUCUUCCUUGUUUAUUGUUUAGUCUGAUCUUAUUUCUUUUCGGUGUGAUAAUGCAGUUAGCUCAAUUAGGUUUUUCGAAGUGUUGCAUGUUUUGAAUGAACCUGAACUUAUUAAUAACAUACAAAAACAACAAACCCUGUGAAUAAAAUAGUUAUGGAAUACAUGAGUGUGAUUCUCCUGUUGUAGCUGUUUGGAAAAUUGGAGGGAGAAUAACAAAAAUGAUUUCAUGUUUUGUCCUGUUGUUAGUUGAGGCUUUUGGCUAACAUUAUUAAAGGCAACAGACUUUUUGUUGGUAUAGUUUAUCAGUUUCUGCAUAUUUAUAUUGUAUCUCCAAAUUAUGCCACACGUCCCUGGAGCCCACGAGAUUCGAGGGAUUUUGAGAAUUCGUAUGGGAUUAUUUUAUUUGUUCAAUUAUAUCAAUCUGGAAACUUUUGUUUUCUAAUACAAUUGGUGGAGCUAAAAAAUGGAGACUGAUAAUGGUCAUUUGGUGAAUUGUGAUACUUGGAUGAAAAUCCAUCUUCGUGAAGUUAUCUGUACGUCAAAGGUAAUUCAUUGUUUUUUAAUAUUUUAUUGCUAGGUUUUCAAAUGUAUUGGUGCAAGACCACUUGAUUUUGAAAAUUUAAUGCAGGAUGGAGAUAGAUUUUGGAGAAUGCCUGAAUGUUAUAUUCGUGGCAAUACCAUAAAGUAUCUUAGAGUUCUUGAUGAGGUUAGUUUAUUUUCUUAAUUACUAUGAUUAAUAAUGCUUUCGUGUAGUAUUAUUCGUUUUUCACUUGCAACAUAGUGUGUAUGGCACUUUUGGACUUUGUACUAAGGGAACAGAAGAUGGGUGCCUAUUUUGUAGUAGUUAUUUGUAUUAUUAAAUGGUUGCUUUGCAGGGGUGACUGUAAAAUUCGUAAACUAGUUGUGCAAUGGCAGUUUCUACUUAAGUAACUAGGACUAAACUACUUGCUUUAGUGCUAUCACUCAACAUGACAAUGAGUUUGAAAAAUCUUUAGUUUUCAUAGAGAGUACACGUUAAUAUACACAAUAAUAUUUUUUUACACACCUAACGUGCAGGCUUGAAUUCUUUUUCCCAUGCCAAGCACACAACUUAUUUUCUGAUAAUGGGUGGGUUGAGAAAUGCACCAUGUUGAGAUGUGAAAUGUGUGAUCAUUUGAUGUAAAAGCUUGAGUUGUUAGGGAGAACACAUUUUAAUUUACUUAAUAACAUCUUGUACAGAACACUGAGGACGGUCCAUUUACACCAUUAUCGUGGUGCAUUCUAGGGGCUUGGUUUGAUGUAAGUAGGUGGAAUCAAGAUACUUGCUAAUCUUGGUGUGACCAGACUCAUGGAUAUACUUGUCUAGUUAUUCACUCAAUGGGGCUUUUAGGGGUGGGUUUCAGUUGUGUUGUUGUAGGCUGAAGUUAUGUUACUAGCUAAUAUGUGGUGUCUGGGUCUAUGUGGCUAAACUUACCAUGACAUGCUUGGAUUCAGAGCUGGAAAACAUAGAGAACCGGGUAGAAAAGUUAAAAGAGGUAUCAGCAGUACCAAGCAAUAAUGCAGGGAACUGAAGGUUGAACUUAUAACACAACUCUGAUGUUCCUAAAGGCUAAAUAGAAAUGCAUCCAUACUCUUGUUGCCUCUUUUCUACUGAUAAAAUAGAUUUCUUGAAAUGAAAUCAUUGUUGUGGUUGGAACAUUAGUGUUUUAGACUUCGAACAUAGUGUUCUUCUCAAAUAAGAUGUGUAGCCAAGUGGUUUUCAUAUAAGAUUCGGAAGUUAGAUAAUUCUUAGUUCUUAAGUAAUUAUUUUCCAAUAUUACUGGCUUAUUUUAUAUAAGAUAUCCUAUACUAAAAUAGAUUAUAAAAUGUUAGAUAUCAUAAGGUUGAACCCCUAUUGAUGUUGUUCUUUCUUGCGUGCUUGUAGUCAACUGUAUGUUCAUUUCCUCGUGACUGUGAGUAGAACAUUCCUGUACGAAGAGAAUUGAUUACGCUGAUGUGAUGCAAUUUAGCCAAAUAAGACAUUGUUGUGCUCCCUAUGGACCGUUGAAUCUGACACCUUACGUAGGAGUGCGACUCUAUGAAGCUUUAGCGAUGACAAGCUUCCAUGUGAAAUUUAACGUUUGCAGUUUUGACUAAAUAAAGCGGCGGCACAUGCUUUCUGCUUUUAUUUUCUGUUUACAUCGUAUUAUGCACUCUUCCGCCCUAUUUUUUUAAUAGCUCAUGACAGGCACAUAUGGGAAGUUAUCCUAGCUUCUCUCGUCCAUUCGCCGUCCACACAUUCAUAGUUGAUUUAGGAAUGACCUUUGAGUUUUGGAGGUUAUCCUUUUGUUGAUCUUUUAGGAGUGCCAGGAACCAUCUUUUCCCAGUGUUUGUUUCCUUUGUUAGAUGCUUUUUUUAUUUUGUUUGUGUGGGCUUUCAAUACUAUCUAGGAAGGGAGAUGAUGUUUGAAUACAACUGUUAUCCUAAUUUUCUGUACUUCUUCUUUGUUUGGACACAUGGGGGGUGGGGGGUUUGAAAAGGAGAGGUAGGUGAGAAGAGUUUUCAUGGGCAGCUCACAUUUUCUUUUAAAAAGUCAUAACGUUAACAGAUAGAAGAAACUAUAAAAUGAAAACCCCCUAUAUCCUUUCAGACGU
rnacentral:lncRNA from 1 species